AGAGUUGAUAACAGUGACGAUAACAAAACAUGUGAAGUGAAAAACCACUAGAGCCAGAAUAUCUAGGCAGAGUCCACAAGUACCUUAAUGUCUUUUGAUGAAUCAUUAAAAAGUCGAGCUUAAAGUGAAAGCAAAUGUAAGCAUUAAAGCUUGUUGGUUCAAAGCAUAUGCCAAAGAAGAUCCUUCCCCACCAUUCGAACAAUCCUCCUCAACUCACACUAUUUAAGGGCCUCUACAUUCUUUAUUACAUCUCCAAGCUCUGGCUCUUUCAGCUGACCCCGGAUCUUCUUCCCAUUUUCCGAUGGAUUCCGAGCUCGACGACGCCGGCCGCGACAAUGGGUGGAAAGCCAAGAGCAGCGACGAGGAGGAGUAUGAAUAAAUUUGGUAGGUCAUGAUGGUUAUUGCAGCAUUAGGGCAACUAUGAUCUUUGGCAAAUGUACCCUGUGGCUAUGAUUAUGGCUUACAAAAUAAUUAAUCAUCUUAAAUAAUGAAUAUUACUAUGUUUUGUCUAAUUCCUCUCUUCUAUCUUUACUUGUGUGUUCCGUUCGUUUUUGUUUUUUGUUUUUUUUUUUUUCAAAUUCUAGCAAUAGUUCAAUUGAAUGUUAUUCUUGCCUAUGCUAUUUAUUUACCUUUAUAAGAUAUCUUUGACCACCAAUACUUGUAAAAUUUGUGCACUAAUAAUGGCACGCUAAGGCCUGUUUAAGGCCUAAUUGGUAUUUGGUAGCCAUGCUUUGCUUUGAGAGCACAGGUGUUAAAACUUUGGUGAAAACUUCUAUUUAAUAGCAGACAUCAACAUUUGAAUAAGUUGAUGUCGAAAUCUUCAGCGCAUUACUUCCACAAAGAGUACUUUUCACCAACAUUCCCUUGAUAAUCUCCAACUCGCAAAUAGAUAGAUUUUAAUUUGGACAUUAACCUCUCAUAAAUUAACAAAAAAAAAAAAAAAUUGACUGUUACCAUCAAGAAUAAUUUCAUUAUUUAAAAAAAGUCCAAUCAUAUUUCUUCUUUCAACCAGCAGCAUAUCUGAAAAUUGAAUCGAAAAUUUGAUGAAACGGAGGUGCUGUAAAUGGCUUUUGAGUUUUGAAGCAAAUUCUAUAAAUUGGCUGCGAUGAAUGCAGGUGCUUUUAAAUGGCUUAAGCAUGAAGAAAUUUUUGGAAAAUUGGUUGAAUUUUUUGUAACGGCCUUUAGCUUCACAUAAAAUAUAAAAAAAUCUACCCAUAUUCCACAAUUGUAAAAUGACUUAUUUCAUUAAACAAUUUUUUUUUUUUUUUUGGGCUCCAGCCUCCGUUUGCAUUACCUUUGCUUGUCGGAAAAUAAGCACCAAAAGCUACAACCUGACAUUAACAUUGAUCCGAGAGAAAAUUGUGUUUCUUAGCCUUUUUUUUUUUUCCCCCUUUUCUAAUUUCAUUAUAUUUCUUAGCUUAGUUUCACAGAAGCAUCCUCUAUAUAUAUAUAUAUAUUGAUAAGUCCUCUAUAUUCAUUUUAGGUACUAGGUAUUGAUCUCUCAUUUUUCCUAAUUGCUUUCAUAAUUCGGUGCAGAAAAAACUAGGGUUGUUGAACCGACAAUGCAAAGUCAUUAGAGAAUGGCUCAUGCUCAAGACUGUGAGUGAAGUUAAAAGAGUUUUUAUGGGCAUGUUUUAUGUGAAAUUUAUUCACAAUUUUAGCUCUAUAACCGUGCCAAUUACUGAAUGUUUGAAGAAAGGAAAGUUCAAUUGAGGAGUCGAGCAAGAGGUUAGCUAGCCUUUAUUGUAGGAGAAAUUGUCUAAUUGUAAUUUCCCGACUCCCCAAGGGAGGUCCUGUUAUUUUGGAUAUAAAGUCCAUCUCCGUGUGGGUUGAAGAUAGUUCAGGGACCUUAGUGAAGAUUACAUUACUCAUCUUAUAAAGCACUAUUCCUAUUCACCACUAAGAAACAAAAUAAAUAAAUAAAUAACCAAAAAUAAAUAAAAAUAAUAAAACUUAUAUUCCUCACUUACACAAUCAGAUGUUAACAGAACUUGGGAAAAUUGAUCACCAAAUCAACUGCUAAGAGAUAAAUGUGUGUAACACAUAAUAUCAUCUUUCUUCAACUAAAAGGUACCAAUCCGAGUUUAAAAAUGCAUAAUUAAAUCAAGUAAAACAAAGAGAAGCUAAUCCAUUUGUGAACAAGUUCUUCCAAAGUACACAAACAAAACUCAAGUCCCAUUCUCAAUAUGAACUUUGCCUAGUAGAAAAAACCAAGCACUUUACCACCAACAUUCUUCCUUCUCGCCUCUUCGUGGUCCAUAAUGCCAGCAGAAGUUGUCAGCACAAUGUAUCCAAACUACAAAAUUUUGAAAAUUAGUGAAAAAGUGAAGUAGAUGUUAUAUUCUGAUUGUACACAAUUUUUUCAUUACCGUCAAGUAUCGGGAAGAAGAUUAUAAUACGGUGCAAAACAAGUUAACGUAGAUUGAUACUGUCAAGGUCUUGAGCUAACCUGUCUUGAGGGAAGCAACCUAGCAGUCCAACCUUCAAUCUCCUUGACGCCAACAUCAAAACGGGGACUGAUAACCCCACAUUUGUUCAAUCUUCCGUUCAGUUCAACCACAAUCUUACCAGCUCUGUGGUCAUCAACAUACUCAAACUCACCAAUGUACCCUGUAGAGAACAACCAAUUGAACAAUUAUAUAUUUUUUUUAAAAAGUGCAGCAUAUAGUAUUUUGGUGAGACAAUAUUGAGUUUCAUGCUGGAUGCAUACCGUGCUUUUGCAUCACCAGAAGAAACUUAAUGAUAACCUUGGAGGAUGGUCUGAUCAUAACCUGACGCUUCCCCCUUUUCUCGGCAUUAUACAUGCUCUUAAGAGCGUCAUUCAGAACACUAACUCUCACCAUUGUUGCUGCUACACAUAAUAGAAAACAGCAUCAGUGUCUAUGCUAAGGUUUAACAAACAACCCAAAAAAAAAAAAAAAAAAAGAAGCUACAAGGUACAUUUGCUUCCUGAAUGAUUCCAAUCAACAGGAUCUAAAAAUUAUUAUAGAGUUGCAUACACAAGCUGAGAUCAUUACCAAACAACAUUUACAAUCAAUCAUUUUUUUGCUUUGAACAAAACAGGAAGGGGAUUAACAAGAAUCAGUAAACAUAUAAAUUAACAGAGGACUAGUUUUUUCUUCAACACACCCAUUAUUUGUACCAUCACAAGAAAUGUGACUACAAAACUAUCCCUCACAGUUAUUCAAAUUAACAUUCAGAAACCACAAUAGGUGGGAACACAAUCAUCACAAACUUUUAUAAAUUAUAAGCAAAGAAUUACAUAGCAAAAUGAAACAACGACAUAGUCUCAACUUUCAAUGGCAGAUUGAAGCAUAUAAGACAAUGUUAACGGGUAAGCAAAUAAUAAUUUCAUUCACACAACCAUCAAACGAAACAAAUUAACCAACUCAUGUAACCAAGCAAGUCCAAGAUUUUCUCAGGCAUAUUACACGUCAACUACUCAAUGCUCAUCUAUUAACUACAAAAAUCAAAAUAUGUUAUACUAUUUCGGCUUCCAUUAGUCAAAAGAAAAUUAACGUUAUAAUUUAGCAGCCAAAAAUCAUAUUAAAUAAGAUGAAACCAUGAAAAACAAACAGAUCAUGUGAGAACCUAUGAAGAUUAGAUCCCAAAUAAAAAAAAAAAUUCAGAAGAAGGCAAUACAAGCGAAACCCGUGUUAUAAGAUGCGAGGUGGAAGCUAGAAUCGUACAUACCGUAGGCAAAUCAAAGCAGGGAGAGGCGCCUCUGAAAGAGUACGUGAGCUGCAAAAGCUAGGGUUUUGGAGAGAGUAAAAGUGAGAGCGAAACCCUCGUCUUUAUAUAUUUCCCUCGCCUACUGUGAUAUCCAUUUACUAAAAUACCCUUCAAUAGGUUUUCUUUUUUUGUUGUUGGGUUCAAUUGUAAAAUUGAGCCCAGCCCAGAUCCAAUCUCACCAAUCGUUGCCCGCUUUUUAAGGGCCUUUUUUUUUCUAAUAAAUGAGUUGAUGAUUAAGCACAUUGCUUUUAGUUUAGAGUUGGACUAUUGGCAAACCUCUAAGUUCUUUUUAAACCUCUUUUCUCUACAUAUUCUUCUCAAUUCCUAAAAUAACCCUCAUUAUUAUUAUUAUUAUUAUUAUUAUUAUUUUAUUUGUUGUACUUUCUUAAUAAAUCCUUGUAUUAAUACUUAAAAAAAAUUAUUAGGCGCACUCUCUCGCCCUUCUCUCAUUCUAAACCACUUUCAAUCUCUUAUUAAUUAUAACAUUCAUGAAUUUAUGAUUUUUAUCUCUAUCUGUGUUUAUUUUUCCUAGUAGGUAAUAACUUUGGUAUAUACAUAAAGACAUGUGUGCGAAUCUUUAAAAAAAAAAAAGCUUAAGUAAACAAAUUUCACACAAAAUUAUCUUUCCUACAAAAACUUUGUUUAUAUUUAGAUCAAAUUCUUAUUUUAUGACAAUUCAUUUUUUUUUCAAAUUUUAUAAAUUUAAUGAGUUUAUAAUGGAGAAAAAAAAUAAGAAAACAUAGGUGGGUUUAAUUAGAUAAGUUUUAUUUUUAAUAUAAUUUAAAUAUAAAGGGUAAAUUUGUAAAUAAAGAACAAGAGGGGUUUUAUAAGAGAUAUAGAGGGGUACCAAUAGCGUCACUCUUUAGUCUAAAGGAUUAUUUCAUUCCUGAUAAUUAUUUUUUAUUUAAUUAAUUGGUGGAUAGCAGCAUGCUCUAGAUUAGGAUUAUGAUGAGUACUGCUUUAUCAUUUCUACUGACUUAAAACCCCAAUUAAUAUUCUUUUUAUGUUAUGCAGAAGGAUCCUUUUAUAUAAUUGGCAUAAUUUGUGUAUUUUGAUCACAUAUUUUUAAAAAUCUCAUUGGUGUUGGAUCACGGGUAUUACAAUUUAGACUCUGUCUUUUAUCUUAUAAUUAUUUUUUACAUAAUUAACUUGUUGCUUUAGAUUUUUUAUUAAUACAGAUUAUAUGAAGUAAAAAUUAUGAAAUAGAUAAUACGGUUGCCUUAUUGUCUCCAACGUACGAUGCUGUAUUUGAAUUUGUUGAAUAUGAUUAUUAUUGAACAAAUUUCCAAAUGGCCGUGACUUUGCUCUAUUUGCUUAACAUAAUUAAAAUUAAUUGUGUCAAUGGAACAAUUAUCUUGUCCCCUUAACUGAAAAUAAUUCAAGGGUGAUAUUGCAUAAACAACCAUGUAUUUAUAUAAUCAAUAAACUCAACUAGUCAACGCCCAGAGCCCUGCCCUCACAAAUGUGAGGACAACGGUUCGAACCCCCGCGGCAUAUGUGAGAACUUAUUUCCUUCUUUAAUUAUGGUAUAUAAUUAAGUGAAUAUAGUCCUCUUUUAAGACUCAAAUAGUUUUAUCUAUUAAUCAAACCUUAUUUUCAUAUCAUAGAUAGACAAGAAUUAAAGAGAACUAGACAUUUUAGUUAUUAUGCCAUACAAAUAUAUGGCCUGCAAAUGCAUGGUAUUUUAUGCAAAACAACAUCAAUAUAUAGCUAAUCAUGCAAAUUCAUAUCAUUAACUUUAAUUGCAUGCGCAAGAGUGUAUAUACAUAUAAUAUUCUAAUUCAGGAUCAUAAAUUAGUUAAAAUCUAAAAAUAUUAUUAAAUUAUAUAAUUUAAUAGGAUAAUGAUGUAAUAUUAUUAAACUAUAUGAUUUAAUAAUUUUUUUGAAUUUUAAUAACUUUUUCGAAUUUUAAACCAAAUCAUUAUUCUAUGUACAUAAUCUUAGUAUUUGAUAAUUUUUUGUGCAUCAUAAGAGCCAUCCAAUAUCAAUGAUAUUAAUAAAUAAAUAAGAAUAAAACUUCCUUUCUGAAAAAAUAAAUAAUUAGAAUAUAAAGAGAAUACUCGAGUUUAUAAAAGACCUAACUGACAAUUCCUUUAACAUUAAUUUUGACGACAAAGUCUUGAAACACAAUUGCUAGAUAAAAAUUCCCCCUGAAUCCCCAACAGCUAAUUGCUUGCUUCUUGCUCUGAUCACGAUUCUCUCUUUUAAAUAGUCCAAUAACUUAUGAUUUUGAUUCCUAAUCAAGUAAUCACAAUUAUAUAAUCCACGCUAAGAAUUAAUUUCGUAAUCAUCGUUGGAUCGGUGUAGAAUUAACCAUUGCUUAUUAGCAAUUUAUCAUAUGAGCAUUUAUAAUUCAUAGAAAUCUUGUUUGUAUAAAAUAAAACAUUGGUUGAUCAUGUAUUAUUUUCAAUAACAUAUUAAAAAAAGAAAAAUAAAUAAAUGCUUGUUAACAAAAUUAUAUUGCAAUUAAUUGGUAUUUCAAUUAAUAAAAAAAGAAAAAAAGAAAGGUUAGAUUCUACCCGGACUUAAAAUAAACUGAAUCUACUUCUAAUUAUUUGAAAUAUAACCUUUCAUAAUAAACUUAAUUAAAAGAACGAUACAUUUGGAGUAUUUAUGAUUUCAUUUCAACGAGUUUUGCUUAAGUUAUAUCUACCAUGCAUGCAUCGUUCCCAAUGAUACAUUAUACGAGUUUUACUUCACUUGGAACCUCGCGAGUUUAGCUUCGUAACUUUUUUUUUUAUCACAAGAACAAAAUAUUCUAAUAAAUGGAAUAUAUUCUAAUAAAUUUCAAAUUAUUUCUAAUGAAUGGUUUCAAUCAAGAGGAAGAAAACUAUUGUACGGAUUCCAAAUGUCAUCACCUCGAACAUUGAGUGACUUUUAACCGAAUCUAAUUAAACACAAGCUGACUUUCAAGAUUAGUUCGAGAGGAGAUUUAAUUAAGAAGAUGAUUACAUAAGAGUUAGGACAUGUAGUGCUUUGGAGAUAGCAACAGUUCCGAUUUUGCUUGGGUUAAUUAGACUGAUAAUUGCAAAGUUACUGGCAUUAUUACACGUGUUAAUCCUUCAAUUAAUCCUGUAUAUAAAUAAGAUGAAGCAAAUAAUUGGAGAAUGCGGAUCAUAGAAGACAAAUAGAAAAACUGGAUUGUUGAGUUGACAUUUAUUUAAGUCACAACUUGGUCAACUCUUUUAUAUUAAUUCAUUCAGUUGAUCAUGACAUAUAUACAUAUGAUCUGAAAUAAACUAUGAUCAUUUUAUUCCAAUUUGAUAAAUUUAAUAUUUCAGAUCUUGUUCAACAUGGUCUAAUAUGUAAUAAGUGGUUACAAAUAGGUGAUGAAGACAGUUAAUAUUAAGAUUGUGUUAGAGAGUGAAUGUAUGAGUUAUUUAUUUAGUUUGUUUCAUAGAAUUUGUCUCAACAAUACUACAGAAAUUGUAUCAUGAUUAAUUUGAAAAGUUUGCAAGAAUCAUUAUUCUAGCGGCCUCGAUUAUGGUAUCUUAAGAAUAUUAUAUCACAUUGCUUUAAGCCUAUCAAAUUAUCAUAAAGUUAGUAAAAAUUUCAAUCUUAUUUAAGGAUAGAGUGAUGAUACAGUAACAAACUCUUGUAUAAACUUAUUUUGUACAAAUUGAUGUGACAUUAAUUCAUUGGUUGAAUGAAAAUAUAAAAUAAUAUAAAUAAAUCAUGUGGGCCAAGAGAUUUUUAAUUCAACCAAUUUUAUCGAGUAAUGAUAUAGCCAUAAACUCUUGUACAAACUAAUGUGGCGUUAAUUUAUUGGUUGAAUUAAAUAUCUCUUGGCCCACAUGAUUUAUUUCUAUUAUUUUAUAUUUUUAUUCAACCAAUGUAUUAAUGACACAUCAGUUUGUAUAAGAGUUUGUGGUUGUAUCAUCACUCAAUUUUAUCAUGCCGCAUCAAUUUGUACAAAAUAAGUUUGUACAAGAAUUUGUGGCUAUAUCAUUACUCUUAAGGAAAUGGGUAUUUUUUCUUAAAUCUUGUACAAGUAAUCACUUGUUAAAUAAAAAAGAAAAUGGGUUAAGUUUUGUUGUGACUACAAUACUUUAGAUCUUUUCUUCACUUUAGUUGUGGAGUUCUACAUUAAAUUAAGCUGCUGCUAACAAUAACUUAUAAAACAGUUGAGAAUUCUUUCGAGCUAUCAAAUGAUAUUACGACACUGAUUUAUUUUUUAUAGUGUAUGGUAAAAAUUACAAAUUGCAUUAUUGAAUAAUAACCAUCAUCAAUCAUAUGCUUGUAUUAUCAUUAUUAUUAUUUUAAAAAGAUUCGUAUAAUUAAUGAGAAUCACCAUCCCUUAUAAAAUUUUAAAAUGGUUUUCUUUUAUAAGAAAAAAAUUCAAUCAUAGUUUAUUACUUUUGCAUGGAUAGAGACGCGGUCGUUAUGGAAUAGAACUUAGAAGAGGUCAAUACAUUAUACUCAAAAAUUAAGCCGUGACACGGGACGGACAAGCAACAACAACAAUGGCAAGACAAAUUGGAAGAGCUUAUUUAACUUAUCACUUUGAAAUUUUUUUAGAACAUAUAUUAACAUAAUUCAAAGUCAAAACAGGCAUUGGUGGCUGACUUUAGAGAUUACUUGUUUUUGAGUUUUGACAUUAUGAAAAACGUUUCUCAAUUCUUGAAAAAAUGAUAUCUUAAUUUUAUGUACUAUUUGGUUAUAUGUAAUCUGACUAGGUGCACGCUGUCAUGCACAUUAUUGCAUGCGAGGGGUCACGUGUCACAAUUUCAUUGCUAGGUCCCACAAUCCGGCCAAUGAAAUCUUGACACAUGACCCAUCACCCAUCGCGUACAAUAAUAUGCACAAUGGCGCGUGCCUAAUCAUAAUUUUUUGAUUAUAUAUACAUAAUUUUUAUUACCCAUCCAAUUCUCAUUACUAUAUGAUAACCUAAACGAGCUAUCCAAUUUAUACUAUUUUUGUAUAAUUUACAAUAUCGAUCGGGAUUCUUUUUUUAAUUUAAUAAAUAUAAUUUAAUUUUUUUAAUUUAAUUCCUUGUAUCAUUAAAUUUUCAACAUUAACUGUGAUGAUGACUUAUAAUAAAUAUCCCUACCCUUUUCUUCUUUGGCCAUUUUAAUGAAGCUAAUUAUGCUACAUUUAGACAUAAUUACUAUCUCUGCAAUUGGGUGUCAUUUAAACCAUUUUGUUUUGAAGCUAAUUAUAGUAUUUUGUUUUCAUAUAUAGAUACAUGCAGAAGAUGGAAGAAAUUCAAAAGAACCAAAACCAAAGAGUUUCUAUAUUUUAUUUUUCUCAAUCAUGGCUAUAAAACUCUAUGGUAAACGUGAGUAGGGGGUACUAGUAUGGUAGCAGCUAUAUAUCUUGCGGAAAAAAGAUUUUCUUCUAAGCAAUAAGCCCGAACAUCCGAACAAAUUACAUAUUAAUGCUAUCUACGCAAUAGCUAGACAAAAUUUGAUGAUGAAUAUUAAUACAUUAUUAUAAUGUAAAGAGGAGAAAAAUAAGCCAAUACAAUUUUGGAAUGACGGAUGUAUAUAUUCAACUAUAAUACGCCCUCCUAAUUUUAAGCAAUAUCAUUAAAAUUGACAACAAACUAGGUCAAUUAAUGGCAUACCAAUCAUCUCAAAUGCCUGGUAUAUUGUUAGUAAGAUUUCUUGGCUUGAGUGUGAUUCACUUGUAUCUUUGCUUGUUUUCAGCAUUCAGCAUUCUAGUUACCGUCUUUCCUUGAAUCUUUAUAUCCAUUGGUGCUCUCAUAUAUAAUUAUAUGAAUGGAGGAGAAAGAGCAUUAUUUUCUUAAGACUAAGAAGCCUCAUUAAAAGGAAAUGGAGUGUUCAUAUAACUAAUCAGGAAAAUCAAAUUUGAAAACCACUUUAAAACCUUAAGUUAAUAAGUUAGGGCCCCAAAAUUCGUGCGAAAGCAAGGCAAGUCAUAGCAUUUUCUACUUUGUAACAUUUUUAUAGUUUCAACACGUUAAGUUUUGACUAGCUAGGUUGGUAUUAAUUUAAUCUCAAGAUACAAUUUAUUACUAUACCCAACACUAAUUAAAACACAAGUCAAACUUAAAUGAAAGUGAAAUCAAACAGAUAAAUUAUUAAUUAGCUAAAUAGCCAAAGAGCCGCCCAUAGCUUAGUAAUUAUAUAAAGCAAUUGGGUUCCUAUCUUUUGAUGAGUCACCUGGACGUUUCAUAUUCAUGCAAUAAAUAGCCACAGUUUCUAUAGAUGUUAAAAAGCCUUUGCUGCAAGAAACCCCUUCAACUUACAAGUUCCAGUCCCAUUAUUAACCCUCUUUCCUUUCCUUUUUCCUAUAAAAGUUCUUCUCUUUAAAGUUGCUUUUUGCACAAGUGCUUUUUCAUUUGCUCUCAUCAGAGGUGAGAAACUUUGCUGAUGAUGCUUCAAUGGCUCCAAGUUUCAUUAUGAAAUUAUCUCAUUUCAUUUAUUUAUUUUCUUUACAUUAUGUCAUCGCAGGCUGCUGGUCGAAUAAAUUAAAAAUGAGAAAUUCCUUUUUUUCUUCAGUGCCUUCCCAGCUUUACUACUUUGGCAAUGGUACUGUCCAUUAGUUUUCUAUGAAGCUUGAGUAGAGCCUAACACAAAAUAUUUUUGCUUGGAGUUAAUUUUUUACUGGAUUUUUAAUUUACUGAACAAACACAUUGUGCUUUGUGAUGAUACUUAAUUUUUUUCUUUUUAAAUUUUCAGGAAACAAUGAAGUUCAGAUGCCAUAUUUGGCCAAUUCCAUGCAAGUUGAUAGCCUAGUGUAUGCUUUCUUUCUAUCCUUCAAACAUUAAUACACUAUUCUAAGUACUUAAAAUGAAGACAAGAUAUUGAAAGAUGCUGCAGAGUGCAGACAAAUGGCAAAAGCAAAAAACAAAUUUUUUUUUUUUUUGUGGGGGUGAUUAUGGUGUUUGUUGGAAUAAUCAAAAGCAUUUUUUUUUUAAAAGAUCAGAGAAGUACUUGCUCGUUUGAUCAAAUUCAACCAGCCAUUCAUCAACGUCAAGACCUAAAAAGAAAAAAAGAAAACUUUUACCGUGCCCUCUACUUUUGUCUUGGCUUUUUAUCAACAUCACAGCAUGUCCUGUUUGCGGGAAUCUUGAACUGGUAUAAGCAUAUAAAAUCAAGGGUUUAAAUUAACAGAACAGAAUCAAUGAAAUUAAAUAAAAAAUGUGACCCAGUUCUUGAAAACGUUUCUUUUUUUGAACCUUAAAAUGAAUUUUUAUUUCUGUUUUUUUUUUUUUAGUACAAAUGUGCACAGAAAUGACUUCUUAAUGGAUUCCAAACUAUCCAAAGACGACAACCAGCUCAGAGAUGGAGGCUUUGCUAUUUCCUAUCAGUCCUUAGUUAAUUGUCAACAAGGUUUGUAGCUUCCUUUUGUCUGUUUUUUGGCCUAGCUUUAUCCAUUUUUUGCUUCUGUGUUGCAUUUAGCACACAGAAGCUUGAUACAUAUCGGUUUACCUUGUUUGAUACAUAGCAGGUAUCCAAUCUAUAACCACAAGCUGUGACAAUGUUUCUCCGCAGUCAUUUUUGCUUAGCCGAAUGCGCUCACUGCCGCAAUUUGAUGUGGUACGUAUGCUUUAUUCAUUCACCCUUCUGGAAUUUCUAAGACAAUCGAAAUAAAUUUGAUACUAAAGUAAUUUGUUCUGCUCAGGAUUUCGAAUCACAGCAGAAUGAAAGGACACAUGCAAUUGAAGCUACUGACUUAUUGCCUCAAGAAGGCGUUUGUGCUAAUCUUGCUCUCAACAAGGCAGCUUUAAAAGUGAGCAAGAAGAUCAAUAAUAAGAAGAAGACCAAACUGAACUCAUUCUGUGAAGAACAAUGGCGCCAUCAAGUGAAUGACACAACAACACGAAUCCAAGAGCAUAGAGUAUGUGAUUCACAAGCUAAAUGAUAUAGCAAAUUUCAGCUUUAAAUUUGGCAAGUCUUGAAACUUCCUCUGCUUUUUGUUUUUAGGUGCCAGUUAGGAGAAGCCAGAAGCUAAGUGACAAGAUCACAGCCCUCCAAAAAUUGGUUUCCCCAUAUGGAAAGGUCAGUGUUUCACUCAAUCAUUAGACACAAAUUUUCUCUUUCGUUAAUGAUUACUUUAGAUCUUUUUCUUUUUAUUUUUUUAAUGAAAAUGCUAUAAUAUAUAUUGCAGACUGAUACUGCUUCAGUUCUUCAAGAGGCCUCUCUGUAUAUCAAGCUUCUGCAAGAACAAAUUCAGGUUCAUGAAACUGUAACUAAGCUCACCUAAUCAACCAGACUCAAAUUAAUUUAUUAUCAACAAUUCAUAUUCUUGAGUGGGUUCCUUAAUUUUAAUUAACAGAACUUAUUUCAGAUGCUGAGUGGCUCGUACAACAGUCUUCAAGUUCAAGUUCAAGUUCUUCACUCACUGGUAAAUUAAAUGUCACAAGACGCAAUGCUUCACUUCACAUUAACGACUCAAUUCUUGCGCCGACUCUAUAAAUUUUCUUCUGAUUAAAAUUUGGGAUUUGUGAACAGGAAAUGGGAGAGGAGCAGCUAGACUUGAGAAGCAGAGGGCUCUGCUUGGUUCCAAUAUCAUUUUCACAGAAAGUAACGCAAGAAGAUCUGCUUGAAUCUCACUCAACAUCAAGAAACACCAUGGUGGACACAGAGUUUUAGUACCAUUUUAUACACAUUUUAAUACCUUGACACUGAACCCAAAAUAUCAUCUUUCUUCUUCUCUAUUAUAUGUUCUAAACAGUUCAUAUUAUUAUUCAAUCAGCUAGAAGGAAUGACAGUAUAGAUGGUUAAAGUGUUCAUUCACUUCAACUUUGAUGGUCUAAUUAAUAUUUUAUUCUUUAUAAUAUGGUUGUAAUUAUCUAAUAUCUGUUCAUGCAUUAAGGAAAAUUUUGGGUUACUUUGCAAUGAGUUGAAAACUUUGGAGGCCUCAAGUCAUGCGGCUAGCGACAACCUCACCUUGGAGUGGGCUCAUUCAUUUGAGUUUAAUUUUCCACAAAUGAAAAAUGUGAGGGGAUUUUCCUUUCUUUUUUUUUUGGGUAGAUAUUGUAUUUGUUGGCUUGUUGCGGUAGAUAAUAUAAUUAAAAAAAAAAUUUGUGUUAUCAUGAAUUAUAUAGAUCAAUUAUCUUCAUUGGGUAUGAGAUUUAGAUUGUUUUCAUCAAUUUUUUUUUUUUGGAAUUUUUAACUAAAAUAGCCAAAGUGAAAAAUUCAGUCAAAGUAUUUUAGAAAUUUAUUAUCUAAUAAAUUAUUCGGGAUAAAACUGUGGUGCAACAGUGGUACCGUGCCACAGUUGCACCCAAUCGUUAGAUUUUCACCCAUUCAAGUAGAACCCACUCAUUUAAGUGGAUUCAACUGCUGGUGCAACUGUGACACGGUACAACAAUUAUACUGUAGUCUAAUAUAAUUAUUCGACGUGCAUAAUGAUUAGGCCUGAUAAUUGACAUGAAUGAUUGAAUGAUGCACCCUACGUUUUCAAAAAUACCAACAAAUGAAAAUAUAAAUCACAAUGAUCACGUGACCGAGCGGAGCCUACAUAAAACGACAGCGUACCGCUUCCAAUGUCCCUCAUUACGUGACUCACAUUCUUUCCUACCUCACCGCCCAUGACGUGGCAGUACGCUCGAGUUUGCGUGGCGUAAAGUAAUUGGCAACACCUCUUCUCUCAGUCAGAUCACCCUUUGGACCGUCACCGUAACAUUAACGCGAACACAACACGCACAAAACCAAAAGCGAGAAAAAGCGAAAAAAAUAAAAAUCUCAAAUAAAAAUUGAAAAAAAAAAAAAAAAUCUAUCUUUAUCAGCCGCAUCUUUCCUCCUCUCUCUUUCUCACUAUAGAAUCCCUAGAUUUUCUCUCAAUUUCCCUCAUUUUCUCUCCAGAAAAUGGUAAGCAUUUCCACUAAAUUUCUUCACUUUAGUCCACUAUUUAAUUUUUUAUUUCCUAUUUUAUCUUGUAUUUUUUACAAUUAUUAUGAACUAUUAUUAUGUUGUUUUUAGUGUGCGAUCUGAGGAACUGAUUGGUGAUUUGACAUAAAAAUUUGAGAUUUUUUUGUCGUCAAACAAUGGUUUGAUUAUUGAUUAGGUUUUAAAAUGCUGUUAUCUCGUUUGGCUGAUCUGGAUGAUUUUUGAUUUGAUCAUGUGAUAUUUGUGUUUCAUUUCUUGUGUGCUGUUUGUUAGCGUAAUCUUUAUUUUUGUAGGUAUUUUGACAAAAAAAAAUUGCAUUUGAUUUUGUGUUGGUGACAAUAAAAUAGGCUCUUUUUUUCAGAAUUUGUGCCAUUUUUUUUUAAUUUUUGUUUAUAUGUGUAUAUUGUGUAUAUUGCAGCUAAGUUUGGACUUUACAGUCAGUAAUAUUUUGAAACUUUUCUUUCAUAAAUUUUUAAUUUUUUUAAUUAUUAACUUGACGACAUGCGUACAACAAAUAAAGCAAUGACUAAAUAUAUGGUUUGUUAAGAAUGGUUUGAUAUUGGGAUUUCUGUGUGUGUUUGAGAAGGUGUUGCAUGUUAAGAGGAGAAGAAGUGGAAUUAAGAAGUUGUGGCAUUUUGUUUCAUAGACUUGCUCAUUCAGGGAAUCUUUUUGGUUUGAUUUGUGAAAUUGACUAAUGAUUUGUUGCUUAAGUGGUGGGUUUAUGCGGGUGGAUUAUUUUGAUUCAAGCCUGUGUAGUUCUGUGACAAUUUCUGUUUUUCGUUUUCUCAAUGUAAAUGCUCACUUGGCAUGGCCUUUUCUAGCAAUACAUUAUACAUGUAGGUAAAGAACAACAUUAGAAUAUUUGUUGUAGAAGUUCUAAUUUCUUAGGUUAGCUCGGUGAUUAAUAAAUGAGUUAUAAUGUGGAUGAGCAUUUGAGUUGCCAUUGGUUGGUAUUUGAUACUGGUCGAUGAUUUGUCCGAUUCACAGGCAAAUGCAGCAUCUGGAAUGGCAGUCGACGAUGACUGCAAGCUGAAGUUUUUGGAAUUGAAGGCAAAAAGGACUUACCGCUUCAUAGUUUUCAAGAUUGAAGAGAAGCAGAAGCAGGUUGUUGUGGAGAAGCUUGGUGAACCAUCUGAUAGUUAUGAGAAUUUUACUGCUAGCCUCCCAGCGGAUGAGUGCCGAUACGCUGUCUAUGAUUUUGACUUUGUGACUGAUGAGAACUGCCAGAAGAGCAAGAUUAUUUUCAUUGCAUGGUAAUUGGUCAAUGAUAAAGGAUUUAUUUUCCAUUCUUCGAUCCUUUUGUUUGUUUCCAUCACAAUUUUGCCUUAAUAUAUUUCAUACUAAUAAAUUGUUGAUUUACAUAUCAAGGUCCCCCGACACCUCAAAGGUGAGAAGCAAGAUGAUUUAUGCUAGCUCCAAGGACAGGUUCAAGAGAGAAUUGGAUGGAAUUCAGGUAGAGUUGCAGGCUACUGAUCCUACUGAGAUGGGUCUUGAUGUCAUGAGAAGCCGUUCGAAUUAAAUUUUAGACUUGCCUAUGGUGCAAUGGAAAGCCCAUACUAUAUUGUUCACUUAAAUGUAAUGUCUAUAUCUUUUAUGACUUAUAACUUGCUUUGCUAUCGGCUUGUGGUCGGAGUUAAAUACUUUUUUAAUUUGUCUUCCCAUUUGUUAUAUCUGUGGAUUAAUAGGGUGAGUAUCCCCAUAUGGUGUGAUGAUAAUUACAGACUAAUAUAUAAUGGUUUGUGGGGGGUACAUAUCUCAUUUUAGCUUUGAUUGCUUGCAACUGGGUUUUUGGCAGUAGUAUCAGUGUAAUACAUCAGUUACAUGAUUUGUUAUGGAUGCAAUUUCUUACAUGAGUUAGUAUUUUUAUCUGCCUUCUUGUCCAUGUCAUCCCAAUAUCCCAUUCCACCCUCACUUUUGCAUUCCUAAUUCGGAACGAAUUCAAUUACUAAAUACAGUUAUAUAAUGGGUAUCAAUGGGAUAUUUUAGUUAUCAUAAUUGAUUAGAGAGACAUUAGACCGCUAGUAAUAAGGGAUGGUCGAAAAAAAGAGAGGUUUUAGAUGAGAGUACAUGGCGGAGAAUUGGUUUGAUUGAGAAAGGAGGUUUAAUAAUAACAUUCAAUCUAAGCCGACUUAAGUGAAAACAUUCGAUCUAAGCAAACUUACAACACUUUUUGUGUUGCAAAAAACAAUUUCAUUUGACAGCUUAAGUCAGUUUUGUAAUAGCAUUGUCUGGAUAUGCGGCCUAGUGUGGAUUCAAAACACUUCUAAAUAUUUGGAAUAAAACUAAUUUCUAGUAAUGUUCAUAGAAGAAGGAACCCAUGAGAAGAAAAACGAUUUACUAUUUAUCAAUUAGAUAUUUUGCCAGGUCUUAACUCUUCAUUAGUAGUAACUAAGGAGUAAAACUAUAGCCCAAUAUGGAACACGAACCAAUCCCACUAAUGCUAUGGAAGCUAACUCCAUAUUUGAAACACGGUUCGCUAGGUAGUAAAUCACUCAGAAUAUAAUAGCGUUUUUACUGAAUUGUAUCACCUCUUUAAAAGAAGGGGGUCCGUAGCUCGGUGGUAAGAGCAUUUGACUGCAGGUCAAGAGGUCACCGGUUUGAACUCAGUUGGGCCCUUUAACUCAUUUUUACAAGCGCGUGCACACACACAUAUAUCGUUUGAUCAAAUAAUAUCAUUAAUACAUAGAGUUUGUGGUACUAUUUUCAUGAAAUUAUAUAUUUGAACUGGAUUUUUAGUGAGGAUGGAAAUUUAAUCCGGACCCAAACAAACUCGAAUAAUCCAAGCCGAGUUCAACAUGUAUCGGAUUAAAAUAAAUUUGGUAUCUAAAUGUAAUUUUAUCAACCCUACACAUAUUUGGUUCAGGUUCAAGUGAACCCGCAUAUCUGAAACUCGGACCCGAAUAUUUUUAUUUUAAUAUUAUUUUUUAAAUUACAUUUUAAUAUAAAUAGAAAAAAAUAGUCGAUGCCCUAAAUUGCAAUUCACACUUUCAUAGCCUUGGCCGCCUAAGUCUUCUUUUCCCUCUCUCUUCAGCUCUUCUCUUCAUCAAAUCAUCGUUGUCAUUGCUUCACCAAGUUUGUUGUGCUCAUGUUCAUCAUCAUCAUCAGCCUCCGUUUGGCCGUCGUUUGUCCACCUUUGCAAAUUGUGAUCGCGAUUAUGACGUUGUGUUCAUCAUCAUUAUCAUAUCAUCAGCAGUCGCCAUUUGUUGCUUCGUUGAACACUGAUCCUUUAAGUUCGUGAACUAAAUCCAUGAAUCGUGAGCUUGAGUUGCAGACAUAGAUUUGUAUUUUGUGGAUGUUAUGUUAUGGAUUUGUAUUUGUGAAUGGUUUAUUGCUUUGAAACAUUGAAAUUUGAAACUUGUAUUUGUAUUUGAUUUUUGUAGAAUAUGAUUUGUACUUGAUUUUUAAAAAUAUUUUUUAUUUGUAUGUGAUCCAGGUUUAAAACUCACAAUCUAGGAAUCCGAAUUUUUUCGUGUGUUUAACCCAUAAUAGACUUGGAGUCAUAAAAAUCAAUUUUAAAUCCAGAUCCGAUACAACAUUUUGGUAUUCAGGUUCGGAAUUAUGAAGGCUAGACCUAGACCCAAACUCGAACUCGAAUUUUGUCAUCCCUAAUUCCUACUAAUUAUUCCAUUCUAAACAAACAUGAAUAUCAUGUGAUUACCUAUGAGAGGCAUAAAAACAAUACCUAUGAGUGACAUAAAUUUGCUUUGUUUGAUCAAGCAAUAUCAUUAAUACAAGAAGUUUGUGGUACUACUUUCAUGAAAUUAUAUAUUUGAACUAGAUUAUUACUAAAUUAUUCCAUUCUAAGCAAACAUGAAAAUCAAGUGGGGGGAGGGAAUUACCAUAUAUAAUAUCAUGUAAUUACCCAUGAGAGGAAUAAAAACAAUACAAAUUUGCUGCUUAGGCCAGGCAUGGUAGGUUUUCAGAUGCAGUGCCAAUUUCAAUUUUCAAGACAAAUUAAAAAUGUGUACACAGUUGCUAAAAGAAGAAAUCAUAAAACCUUAGUUAGCGAAUUUCUUGUUCCAACUAAGCUACAUAUAAAUCAAGCAGCCAAUACAACAUCUAUAUAUAUAUAAUCUGCUACUUUGACAGAACCACUCCAUGCAUCUGGCCAUUAAAAAAAAAAAAAACUUUAGUCAGCAAGAGUCAUUGCUGCAAUGCAAACAACAAUGCAAUAUUGAAUUAAGUUGUCAAUAUGAAACAAUUUUGAACAGGUCUAAAUCUAUCUUUAUACAAUAUGCAAGAUGAAAAAGUGGUUUCAUACUCAGACGCAAGCUAAGAACUCACACUAUGAUCAUCAACAGAGACAAAUGGUUUGCUUCGAAACUGACCAUGACUUACGUUCAAUAAAGGAUUACUCAAACUUACCUCUUAAGGUGAAGGGAAUGCUUUAGAUCGCCAAGAAUAGGCCUCUGAAUUUUGGGAUUCCCCUUUUAUUAUUUGUAUGUAAUGUUCCAUAUUAUGUGCAUCUUCAUUUACGAUAUCAAUGGACAUUGUAUCUUUAGUAAUAAUUAUAUCAGUGGACAUAUAAUGCUCCAUAUUAUGGUAUGGUCUCAAAUGCGUUUUUUAUGAAGUUUCCAUUCCCAUCAAAUAAGAAAAACUUAUUUGUUCUAAAUUCACUGAUUAAAUCAAAUUUCUUCAACAACUAUUCAUGACCUAAACCUUUUAGCUAAUUUAUCAACUCAACAAAAAUACCUAUGCAUUCACCGCCAUAUUUAUCCACAAAACCUUGCAAAUAACAAAAUUAUAAGGUUAUAUAAUGCUAGUUUAUAAGUGCCAAUGGGCAGAAAAACAAUGAAUGUUUUCUAAACACCUAUUUAGAGUUACCUUAACGUAACUAUUUCUUUUCAAAGCAUAUAGAUUAUUCCUUAUGCUAGGUAGACUUUUUUUUAAACUGGCAGCCCUCUGAUCUAGAGUUAACUAUUUCUCCACUUAGAGAGUAGGUAUUCUCAUUAACAUGGACUAUAGUUCCUUUAUGCCCACGAUAUGAAUGUUCCAAAGCUCUCGCUCUGGCUUCAUCUUCUUAUUCUCUAACAACAAGCAUCUCAGAUUCUGGAUAAUAGCUCUAGGGUUGUAUCUAAGAAUGAACGUGAAACAUCCACCCGUUAUUUCUCUACAACCAUUAACCAAAACUACUGGUAUGAUUGGCAUGUAUCUAUAACACAAAGAAUUUAUUAGUUAAGCUUAAUUAGUUUUAAGAAAUCCUCAAUUAAUGGUAUGCUAAAAGUUUUUUAGCUAACGUAUUUUACAUCUAAGCCAUAAUCAUAUGCAUAUAAAAGAAACUCAUCAUUCGCCAUGCAGAAAAUAGUUAUGGCCAUAGGGGAAAGCUUGACUGAUAUGUAUCUGGCUUUAUCUUUGUGUUCCUUAUGAAGAAAUGUAAAACAAAUUGAAAGAUGAGGUAUAAAACAAAUCCAGUAGCGAAUAAAUUAAUUCUUUAGCACGCUAGCAUGUUAUUGCUGGCUCAAAAAAAUAAUAAAGGGUUAAUUAUUCCAUUAAUCUCACCUAUCAUGACCAGAGCAAAGGAAUAUUAUUUCUAAUACAACCUUGAACCAUGCCAACUACCGUUUUCAUAAGGCUCUAUGAAUCAGGUAAUUUAUAUGCUCUGAGGCAUAACCAGAAAAUAUAUAAACUGGUUGUGAUUGGAUGAGAGGCUUUUCAAAAGCAACAAACAAAACUUUUUUUUUUUUUUUGGCAUCAUCUUCAAGCCAUCAAACAAUGAUGGCAUGGUCCUUUUAGUAGAAAAAGGAGAAUAGCUGGUUUCGAUGAAGGCACUGUAAGCGUAAAAAACACCUUUUCUCUAUCAUGGUCCCUGUAAGCUCCGGGCUGCAAAACAUAAAAUACGAAAAUUUUCAGUAAGUUUUCUACUUGACAAAAUUCAAACAAAUAUUUAAUACACUCAAUCCUUUGUCUUAUAGUAAAUGACCCAUUGGAUAUAAUCGCACGGCUGAAGAUGCGACACAGAGCUUAUUUUAUUUAAUUUUUUUUGGAGAACGGUACAAGUAUUAUAUUUAACUACGCACCAAAGCUCACUUUAUUUCUUCUCCCCAUUAAAAUCUUAACACGCAAAAGCAACUCCCGUCCCGCCCCAUUGAUCAUACAUAUACUAAAGCUCUUAUUUCUCCUCAUCCAACAAGAACCACAACUUUUUGAAAAGCAGCUCAGGAUUCAAAAUCAAUCUUCAAAACGAGAAAUAUAAAAAUAAUCAAUUCUAAGUUUUUUCCCGAGUCUUUAGCUGACUCUUACUAGUAACCAGGAAGUAACUAUAAUGCAAUAUGACACAUGAACCAAACUCCAUAUCUGAAAUUCUUUAGCGGACAAGUUGAAUGACCAAUUGGAUGCUGAGCGCUAAAGAAAACAAUCGAAUCCAUAUCUCGGUAAGGAUUUAGUAAAUCAGUGAGGAGCUUAAUGUAAAGAUCAAAUUUGUGACUUUUUGAGUCUGGAGCUCCCCGGUAGAGCAUUUGACUGCAGGUCAAGAGGUCACCGGUUUAACCCGGCUGGGACUUUAAUUAAAUUUGUGACUUCUUUUAUUAUAUAUAUUUUUUUGGUCUAAUCUUACGAUAUCAUUAAUAUGUGAAGUUUGUGGUUACUACUUUUCAUGAAAUUAUACAUUUGAUACUAAACAUUUUUCGGUACGUUAUGUGGUUUUCAUGAAGGUAAAAAGAGUAAUAAAAACUGAAUUUCGACUAAUUUUUUACAUUCUAAAUAAACAUGAAGAUGAAGAUCAAGGAUUGGAGAGAAUGACCGUCUAUAAUAUCGUGUGAUUACCUAUGAAAGGCAUAAAAACGGCACACAUUUGCUGCUUAGGCUUUCAAAGACACUGCAAUUUUUCAAUUUCCAACACAAAUGAAAAAUUGUGUGCCCACAUGUGCUAAAAGAAGUAAUCUCAAAACCUUUGUAAGCGAAUUUCUUGUUCCAACUAAGCUACAUAUAAAUCAAGCAGCCAAUACAAAAUCUAAUAAAUGAUAUUUUUUUAAAAAAAAUUCGAGUUUCAAUCUGCUGCUCUGACAGGAUCACUCCAUGCAUCUCGCCAUUCAAACAAUAUCUUCAAUCAACAAGAGUCAUCACUGCAAUGCAAGCAACAGUAACAACAGUGAAUUAUGUUCUCAAUUAAAAACAAUUUUGAACAGGUCCAAACCUAUCUUUAUACAAUAUGCACAGAUGAAAAAGUGGCUUCAUACUCUUGACACAAACCAAAACCGAGAACUCACACUACGAUCAUCAAGAGAGAACAAUGGUUUCUUUCAAAACUGACCGUGAUUUACAUUCAGUAAAGGAUUACUCAAACUUACCUCUCAAGGAGAAAGAAAUACUUUAGAUCGCCAAGAAAAGGCCUCUGAAUUUUGGGAUUCCAAUUUUACUAUUUGCACGUAACGCUCCAUAUUAUGUGCAUGCUCAUUUAUGAUAUCAAUAGACAUUGUAUCUUCAGCUAGUUUGAUUGCAGCCAUUUGAGACAGCUGAAAAGUCUCUCCUGUGUCUUGCAGCUUCCUUGCAGUAUCCACCUCACCAAGCAUCACAAGGAAAACCACCAAUGAUUUAAGCUCUUGCUUUGCUCCAACGGUUAGAGACAUGCCCUUCAAAUGAUCCACCAGAGCCAUCUCUUCCCCAGGGCUACAACACCAGUGAACAAUUUUACCCUUUAGAUUGUGAAUGAAAUAGUAAAAAACAAGGAAAAUUGGACACCGAAUGCCUGAAUCACCAAAAAUACCUGCCAGGACGAAUCUUCCCUCUAUUUCUCUGGCGCUUCGAUUCUCUUGCCUUACUAGCUGCAGUUGACUUGGUGGAAGCAGCAGAACUCUUCCUUGUACUGCUCCUGGAACAAUAAAACCACUUGAAGCAACUCAGAUUGAUACAAAACAAACAUUUGAAAAGUGAAAAACUGAAAGGGGAUAUUUAUCAUUUGGCAAUUUGUCCGGAUAGGGCAGUGGAAGACAAUUAUUUUGAAAGGAAGCCAAAAAGAUCUAGAUAUGGUGGGGCUGUGGUGCGUAUUGGAGAGGGAGGAAGAGUAAUGGAAAUGGCUCCAUAAAACACCAGGGAAAAAUGGUUCUGAGCAAAAACGAGAAAACGUGGGCACAUACACACAACAUAUUUAGGGCAUUCAAUUGCAUUACAGCUAUGUGAGAAGCGUGAUAACAGGGUACAAGGAGAAGGGUUGGCAUUGGGUGUACAGAGGAGUAGUGUCUAAGCAAAUUAGGCUGCAAGAAAGAUGAAGGAGAAAUCCCCAUGACCUAUAAAAAAUGCUCAAACAUGGAUUGAUAUAUAGAAACAUAAAAGUAAGGAUGCGGUUUAAGCAGCUCAACCUGAUUGAGAAACAGAUGACCGGGAUUAGACUAAAUAAAUAGCUACAACAUAUCCAGAAUAGAAUGUUCUUCAAUAAAGUUCAAGUCAUCAUUCACCAAGAUAUUAUUGAAAAUAUGAAUCAGAUAAGGAGUUGCAGGUAUAAGGACUGAUGCAAAUAACAGAAAAUUUAAUGUGUGAUGAACGAGGAUAAUAGCACUAUAUCACCACUUCUAUGAUUCCAUUAAUUAUAGAAAUCACCACUUAUUACUUUAUACUCCUGUUAUGAUAUUUAUUGUCAUGAAAAUGCAACAACAGCCUUAUUAUAGAACCCUAAUGUUUGAUAAUAGUAGAUUGACAAUAUCAAAUGCAACUUUCCUAAGAGAGGAAAAUCAAGAGAUCUAGUAAAGCAAGAUGUAACUAUGGAAGCUAAUGAAAAGAAAUAGAGGUGUAAUUGACAUACCCAGUGGUGUACACACUCAUUCCACUGAAAGUACUGCUUGUUUCUGAAACAGUAUCAUCAUCGAGAUCAUUCAUUGACCGAUCCUCUGACUGAAGCUUAGCCGCAAGUAGCAAUCUUCUUUGUCUAACAGCUAAAUAGCGAGUCAAGUACUUCCCUACUUUCUCCAAACCUUCCUUGUAUUCACCAAUUAGGCUGCUUGCACAUUCCAAAGAUGCAUGCUUCACUUUUGUGAUUAAAUCUUCUCUCCUGUGCAUGAAAGCAACCCUCAAAGCCUCCUCCCAGUCCCUUGCAUCAAUUAACAAACUUAUACCAUUGGUAACAUCCCCACAAUAAUCCAGAGCAAUUUUGGCAGCUUCCCCUGGUUUACCAAGGGCUUGGAGUUCUUCACAGAGCUCCUGAGCCAGUUUCAUAACUUCAUCUUUUCCCAAUUUAAGAAGUCCAGCAACUGUCAGCACCCCACUCCAAUUACCAGAAGCACGGUACGCCUUCAUAGCCUUUUCCAAACUGGAACAACAAAAAUAGGUAGUAGCAGCAUCUUCAAAGCAUUUUUCAUCACUAAGAUGAUCUGCCCAAGCCUCAAGGACCUGCUCCAUCUUGGCAGGAUCAGUUAUCAGUUUAAGUCCAAGUGGAAAAAGUUGAGGAUAUUUCUUCAUGAGGUUCAAACAAUCUGCAGAGUAGGAAUCACCCAUGGAAACAAUGUGUUUGAGAGCAUUCUCAAACCUCUGCAGCCUAAGGUCUAUUGUAUAGCGCAUCAAGAGAGGUGGCAUACUUUCCAAUUCUUGAAGGUAAGGCAGAAACUCCUUUGGGUCCUGUUGGGAGUUCAAUGCCACAAUAGCAGCAAGGUUCAAAUCAUAAAGCCCUAAAGCUGCUUCAUAAACAGCCUCUGAAUCUGCUAGCCACAAGAGAUGCUUCAGUGCUUCUUCAGCAGAAGGGUAAGACAUUCUCCUUGGGUCAUCAGAACCCAAUAAUUCAGUUUCACGGAUAACUUUUAUCCUCUCCAACGCUUCUUCAAGAGCUGGGGGAUCACUACGAGCUAGAGUAGUCAAGAUGCAAAGUUCCCUGGAAGGACUUUCUGGUACCUUCUCCUCAAGAGCCUUUCUUAUGGCCAGCAGGACUGAGGAUACCUUGUUACAUUCAGAAGCCUUGAAAUCUUUGGCCGGCAAAUCUUUAAACUCCUCGCAGCAAGGUAGAGAGAGAAAUUGAAAUUUCUUAUAUAGAGUUUCUGUUAUAUUUUCAUUAUUUAUUGCACAAACAAACUCAGUUAUGUAGCUCAAAUUGUUAACCUGCCUAACAAACUCCGAAGCUGAUUGGAGAAAUGCUUGCCAGCCACAAUGAUCAACAAUAACAUUAAAAUUGAUCCUAUGCCGCCUUACCAUUACUAGAGCAUCUCUGAAACGACCUUGGAUCAAAGCAUUGACAAUUGAGGUCAGAACCAAUUUUCUUGGGUACAUGCAUUCUAGGUUUCCACGGUUCGUUUGUAAUAUGACUGCAGCUUCAUCUCCAUGGAGGACACCAAUAACUUUGGCUCCUCUUUCCCAAAUAUUUAUGUAGCUUAUGUUUUCUUCUUUCCUUCUAUUACCAACAUGGGUGAAGUUCUCGUACUUCAAUGCUAAUUCUCCAUGCAAUAUAUCACUAAUGUCAACAAUAAAGAGCAAAUUCUGUUUAGUUGCAAGAAUCAAAUGAGACAUCGCCUGGCCAGCUGACUUAGAGUAGAAAGAGAAACUGCUGCAGUUGUUGCAUACUAUUUUUCCACUAACAUGCAACCUACCACCAUCAUCAAGUCCAAAAAGUAAAGGCUUCAAUGGCCCAUUGGUACCAACUGAAACAACACUCAUCCAAGGGCAAGAUAAUGGAAAACUUGCAUCAUCAUGUGUCAAAGCACCUCCAGUCAGUCCCACCCUUGACAUGUACUCGGAGAUUUUUCCACCAUCAAACUGAAGAAACGCUGAAUAUGUUUUAGCAUUAUUAGGAGCAAUAGCAAUUACCAACCCUUCCAGAGGAAUUUGAGUGGAAACUUUUGCGUGCCAUCCUGCACACGUCAAUAAACCUUGGACAUGAUCCUCAGAGCAUGCAAGCUCAAUCUCCUGUGCAUAAAAACCAAGCAGCCCAUCCUCAUUUAAUGUGGCUCCUCGAAAGUAAUUGCUAUGACGGGGCCCAUGAUGAGAAACAGAAAGAAGUAGAUGUGAGCCUAACCAUAUUAGAUGUAUAACUGAUCCAAAUGCAGUUUCAGAAAUACAAGCUUCAACAACAAAUUCUGUGCCUUCUAGAUCUUCCAACAUAUCGGGUGCAGGAAGGUCCACGACACACAAACAUCCAUCUGAUAAAAUUGCAGCCAAACAAUUCUUAGAACUUUUGCUAUAGAAAGCCAUCUCCGUGACAGCAGUUGGAAAUUUCAGGCUAAAUAAAUACAUAGGAGGUGGCAUUAAUGAUAAAGAAAGGGGGGUCACUAGAAUCUUGGAGCCAUCAAUGACUAAAGCAGUUGAGUUCUCCAUAACAGCUGUAGUCCAGAUGAAGUCGUAUGUUGUAAUUUGCCCAUCAAGAGUCCAACAUAUCAACUGCAGCGGCUUUGUGGGAUGCCACAUGAACCUUAUGCCAUCCCGCCGCAAGUAUCUAAUUUCAUAUUUCAAGUACCAAUGGUUGUUGCUGAAAAAACAGAUCUUAACAGAAUCAUACUCUUCAAAUCUGACAACAGCUGCAAGAAGAUCUGACAUACAAUUCCACUUCAAAAGUUCUACUGUUGAAUCGAUUUGUUCAUUUAUGUCAAAGGAACUCCUUUCUAACCCAUUCCUCUCAUAGAAGACUAUAGAGGGACACUUGUUCUCUGAUUUUCUAUCAUAAACAGCAGCAAUGUUUGCUCCACUGGGCAUCCAUUCCAAAACUGCCCCCAUGAAUGCCUUUAAUUCUGAAGAAGCUUGCAAUGUUCCAGAAUCUCGUUCCCAAACCUUAAGUCUCUUAUGCAAUUUGGAAGAAUUGCAGAACUCACUUAGUGUGGCAAAGUAUUUGCCAUCACCGCGCCAAGAAAUGGGACUCUUGAAAGAAAAUGAGGAAGAUAAUUCUGGUUCAUCUGAAAGGAAAACAAAGUUCAAUAAACAAAAUUUCAAAAUACACUCAAAGUGAAAAAGAAAAAGAAAAAAUACACACACACAGAGAUAUAUAUAGAUAUAUAGAUAAAUGCAUAUAUCCUAUCGCCAUCAACAACAGAUUCUAAACCAUCUGGUACAUGAUAUGCAGACAUUUAAUUACACCUCCAAUCCCUCAAACGGCCGAUAUGAACUAGGCAAACAGAUAUUUCAGCUAAAGAAAUUUUCUUGUUAGGACCCAAUUGGGCCCCAAAUGUCUAUAUUCGUGCCAUGCAUCACACACAACAGAAUGUGUGCACCCUCCGGUGAGCGUGUAAGAAAUUACUUAUCUUCACUGGCAAGCAAUUAAGGCGAACAAAAAAUUUUUGCAAAAGAAUCUGUGAAGAACGGAAAUAGGUUUAGGUCCUUACGUACGUCAAAACCUUCGGCAAGCUCCUCCAGUGGAUUUUCAUACAAUAAAUCCCAAUCAUGAGUCAUCACUAAAAUCUGACCAAAACCAGUUGUUACACCCAGCAGAUCUCCAUCUGGACUAGGGGAGACGCACCUGACACCACCCUCAACCCUACCAACAACUUCUGUUGCAUUACCAUCCACACUAUGCAGCAGUAGAAGCCCACUAGAAGUUCCCACUAUCAACGCUUCUUUCUCCAUGAGAUAAUCAAAAGCAGUAAUGGAGUCCCCAGGCUCCAAAUCGAUGUGCUCAAUUUCAGCAGAUAUUGCAGUCUUGAUCGAUGCCCUCUCAUUCUGGCACAAGCAUUAGGUUCCAUUAUUAGUCACAAUUUUUUUAUGCAUAUAAUCUAACAAACUGCUUAUUCAAAAAGCACUUGAAAUAAGUUUUCAAAUUUCCAAAAUAACACUGCAAACUGUUUCCUUCUUAAUAGACCAAACAAACGCAGAAUAAAUGAAUUAAGCUUGUCGAUAACGAAACACGGGACCAAGAGAGAGCUUGAGCUUACUUGGAAAGAAGAAAUUUCAGCAGAGUAAAUGUUAUUAGCAGAAGAAGCGAAGAACAGACGGUUUUGCUCGAUAUCGAGAGCCGAGAACAGUAAAAUUUCGUCCUUCGAUUGUAGCUCGAGAUUCAGAGGAACUUCUGCGCACAGUUUUAGAUUGUUCAUCUUUUAAUUCUCGAAAAUUAAUUUUAAAAAAUAAAAAUAAUAAUGGUAAGGGUUUUGAGGGUUUUAGGCCUUAAUAGAGGAGGCUUUGUAAACUGUGAGCGGAAGAAGAAAAAGCGUACUUGAAAGUUACUAACCUAUAUAGACUGUAGCUUAUUUUUUCCAUCAUGGGAGGCGCACGUUAGAUGAGCACGUGUGUUUUUGCUAUUGCGCGCUGCAGACUAUUGGCCUAUUUUAUACUCUAACCCGUACACUUUUGGAAGUCCAAUAUGACCCAUUAUUGAGUUUGGCUUAAUAACAUUUAGCCCCCUCUCUCUUUGGCUGAACGGGACGAGCCAACUCUCGAAUAGCAAUAGAUUAAUAUAUACUACACCCCUCACGGAAAAUUUGUGUUUUAUACCCAUCAAAUACAGUACUCGACGUUUUCACUUUUUUUUUUUUUUUUGGUUGAAAAUCAAUUUAAUUUUUAAAUUUAUAAGGUAUGAUUUAACUCAAUCUGGCAUCACAUUAGUACAAAAAAUAAAAAAAUUUACUUCAUAGAUCAAGCCUUUUUUUUUUUAAUUUUUAUUUGUGAAAAGAGUCAAGAAAACACAAAUCCUCAAUUUUUCUCCCAAUUUAUCAAACUCCAGUGACUCCUCUGAAUUUGGCAUACAUACAAAAUGCCCUUGUCAUGUUCAUACACAUCUUCCUACACCGGAGAGCAAACUCUUGAUAUUCACUAGAGAAAACUAUCUCCUCCAUGUUUUGGAAAAUACAGUUCAAUGCAGCCUCCGACAAUCCUCUAUGUCUACAACGAAAUGCUAACUCCAAAACCUGAAGAGCAUUUGAUGGGGUCAACGACAAAAGGAUAUGGCGCGCGCAAAACUCCCACAGGUACAGGAUUUCAUAGGAAUAAGCCAGAGAGAAUAGUGUAUGUAUAUGUUUCUCCAUCUUCUCCCAAGGCAAGCUCCCAGUGUAAAGAAAAUCUAGAAGAGGCUCAAGCUCUUCGUGUCUCAAACCGAGUUCCACAGUCUCACUCUCACAUGGCACAGCCUCGCAUAGCCUAGCCUUGCGUUCAUUCGGCUGGUCCAAGAUAUUUGAUCUUGCGGCCUACAUAACACAUAAUAGCGAUAUCAUUUAAAAAAUACAUAUAGAUUUAACACAAUUUGUAAAUAUACGUACAAGUUUGGGAAUUUGAAGAGAAAAAAAAGUGUCAUUCUCUCCUGCUGGCGUCGUUAAAAUUGAUGAUUGCAAAGUCUAGAUUUCCACUGGGAUACAGAAAUCCAUAAUGUGGUCUUAUAAUCAUGUUAAGUGUAUAUAUGCCGUGAAUAUUUGAAAAUCAAACCAUGAAACUUGAAUUAACAAACUAGAUUAAAAACGACACCUGGAAAAUUGUAUCUAGAGCAAGUGAAGCAAUUGAGGAAAUCGCCGCCGCCUGUCUUUGUGGUGGCGAACAGGACCCAUCGUCGCGGUGAUUGCUGGCGGCUUGGCGUGGUGAGUCGGUCGAUGACGAUGGCGUGUGUCUAGGGACGCAAUCAGGAUUUUAAUCGAGCUGGAGCAUAUUUAAAAUCAAACAUGAGUCGAAUGCGCAAUUGCUCAUAUGGUAAGUCCUCAUUUGGGAAAUUGUGUUGUGGGCCCCACAAACUCCGAAUGGGAGCUUGCCACAUGCACAAUCGUGCUCUUUAUAGAGUGUGUCUACAUGCAUCUAAUUAAAACGCUAUUUAAAAUAUAAUACAUUUCUAAAAAUUUAGAUGAUAAUAUAUAACAUUACAGUUAUAAUAUUCAUUGAUAAUAAAUUUACUUAUUAUAAUUGUUCUCAGUGAAAACUCCUCAAUGAGAUUUUAUGAGUUGAAAAUAAUGCAUUAUCAAUAUAAGCAAAAAUAUAUUUUUCAAUAUAUAAGACUAGGUUGUUACUUAAUUUGCUCUUAAAAUCUAUUAAUAAUAACAAAAAUAUUUAUAUAUUGCAACUCACAGAACAAACAUGAAUGCAUGGUAAAAUUCUAGAUUUUAAAACUAGACAAAAGAUUAAUCAGAAAAUUAAAAAUUAGAAUUAGAUAGACUUACAACUUAUGAUUCAAUAUCGAAAGACCAACUAUUUGAUUUUGCUUGAAUAGAAAACAAAAAGAUUAAAGAUUGGUCCAUUAACCAUUAUACUAACAUUUUGUUAUAAUUUUUUUAUUUUAAUAUUUGUUCUUGUGUCUUUAAUCGAUUUUAUGAAAUGUUAAUAACUAAUUAAAUUAUUUAUAAUUAGAAAUUUAAACUAGGGACGAUAUGAAAUAUUUUAAAAUUAUUAGAGUUCAUUUUAAAUUUUACAAUUCAGCCGGGGCAUUGUUCAUAAAUAACAAAUAAAAUACAAUUUUUUAGUAUAAUUAUAAAAAAAAAAUUAAAAGCCAGCAGGGGCCUGUGCCCCAGUUCGUCCCAUGCUGGCUCCGUCCAUGCGUGCGUCGAUGGGAUUGGUGGGCGUUUGAGCGUGCGUCCAUGGGUUGGCCGUGGACGAUAAACAAUAGGUUUGUAAGUACAACGUUGUACUUUAGUUGCCUUUUAUACGUAUUUCUAUUUUCUUCUGCCCCAUACAUUUUUUUUUGUAAUCCAAUUUGACCCAGGAAGUUUGACUUUGUGACGUUUAGGCCCCCCUCUUUUGAUGCGUUAGUAGUUAUUUCAUAAACCACUUACCGAUGCUGCCCUCUAAUCACCAGCUGCAGCAUCGGUGGCAGUGACUGCCAAAUUUCAAGGUCUCGAGUUCAAGCAAGCAAGUGCCUCUUUGACAUUGUAGUUAAUUGGUUAUUUAUUAAAUUGAAUUCAAAUCCAAAUACCAAAUUAAAUUAUAUAUUAAUAAAUAGAUAUAAUAAAUAUGAAAAUUAAUAAAUAAUAUCUAAAGAAUUAGAUAAAUAAAAAACUUCAAGAAUACUUUACAAUAUUUGAUUGAUGGCAAUUCUGUAUAUUCCGUUUACUAUAGAAGUUCCCAAAGAAUUCAUUAGAGGAAUGUUUCCAAUAAAAAUAGUUUGUUCCUGCAUGUCCCCUCGGCUUUUCCAAAUUAAUCAUGCGGAUACAUAUAAUUCAGAAGAAUACGUGAAUGAUUAAUAUACAGCAUCUCUUUCUUUUAGCAAGGGUUCUACCAAUUGAUUUGUGGAAACAUAUCAGUGACAAAAGAAACAAAGAAGGCGAUACCUGUUCUUUCCUUCAUAACAUCAGUGACAACAAUAGAGGUUUAUGUAGAGAAGGGACAUAUAAAAUCACAAUCUCUGUAUUCAUUUCAACUAUAUGACCAGUACAGGAGACCUGGGUCAUUACAAGUACUCAAAAUAAUUGUGUAAAAGGAGUAGCUGUCAUCUGGUAUCAUCCUAAGUAGGACAAAAUAGAAACAACAGCAAAAACAAAAGAACCAACCUAAAGGGAAAAAGAAAUGAAUGAGCUUCACCUAAGACGGUCACCUAUUUGAUGGAUGCUAAAACCUAAUUGACUAUAUUCCUAUGCUUUGUAUCUCUCCUAUACAUUCACAACAACAAAACUUAUCAAUCUGGUGUCACAUCAUGCUGUCAUCAAUUUAAUCUGAGGCCUCUUCAAUAGGAAUCAGCAAAUCUAAGUUUUCCUCCACAGAAUGUUGUUUCUGCCAAAUAUCUAAGACUAAAUUUUAAGAAAAGUCUUCAAUCGAGUUCUAUGCCCUUCUCUCUUGCUGCUUUGACAAUAGUGUUCGAGUCCCCUUUAGUUUUAGACAGAUCGUAAUAGCAUUUCCAUAACUUGAUGGAGAAUGGAUACACAGAUAAGGCUCUCUUGAAAAACCUCUCAGAAAUUUCUUCAAUGCUUGAUAUAUUGCCUAAAAUACCUGCAGUUUCUACCCAUACAUAUUCUGGAGCUACUGGGACAGCAUGAAAAAUUGCACUCACCAAGGAUGAGCUUGCCCAGAACAGAACACUUUCCGGAACAGCAUCUGUAAUGUUGGGAUUGUGGUCUUUGUUUAGCAGCUUGAAGACAGAAAAUGCCAACUGGUAGUUGGAUGGCACAAUCUCCAUGAUGCCUUCGACAAAAUCAACUAGAUCCUUUAGUUUACUAAAAUUUCGGGGUAAGAGAGAUGGGCCAUAGCAUACUUCAAGAACCAAAUUCACCAGAGAAAAAUCAGAUGAAACCGGACUCAGCAGGUUCUCAAUUAGCUGCUGCAAUCUGGGCCUCUCAAUGUUGUUAAUGAAUUGUCUAGGCAAUAGUUUUAGGUAAGGGAGAGACCGGGCUCUAUCCAAGUAACUAUUCAAAAGCUUCAGCUGCCAGCCGAUAGGUGCACCUUCCUUUGGUUCUGACUCAUUGAUAAGCAAAAACAUGGCAUGCUCUCUCACACAAUGCUUAAAAUGCUCAGAAGCUGCAGCUUUCAAUGCCGCGUCAAUGGCUAAGCGGGCCUCAUUACAAUCAUUCUGCAAUAGCCUGUGCAGAGAAAGGUUAAGAUAUCCAAACAUCACAUCCAUCUGAUUCCUGUUAGAAACUGAAAACUCUGGAUCUGAUGUUGAAGUUGAUUCAGGAGAGCUGUGUGACAUAUCAGCCACUAAAGGGUCUGAUAUCUCAACUUGAUCAUACUGAACUUUCCAAACAGAAUGAAACCAACGGUCCAUGAGUUCUGCUGCAAAAUCAUGCCUGCCAUUUUGAAGGGCAUACUCCACAUAUUGAUUCCAGAUACAUUGAAUUCCAGGGACUCCUUUGGGCCACUUAAUAAGGGCUUCCUCAAAACCAACAGAACUCAAAUCGCCAAAAUCAUGUUUCUGCAAGCGUGCUUUCAUCAAAACAAGUUCUAGGCAUGAAGGGUAUGACUUUAUGUAUUUUUCCAACAAGUUCAUACUGCAUUCUAGCCCAUUAAGAACUGCCAUACACCUGAUAUGGUUAACUGCAAAACAAUGUGCUGAUCUGAGAUUGGUCUCCUUCUCAAGUGAUUCACCAUUACUGUACAGUUCAACAGAAUUUACUGCCAUUUCUAUCAGCUUUAUAGCCCUCUGCUUCUCAUCAUCUUCUAAUUGAACAGGAGGCCAAUCAAUUGCAAAGAGUUCUUUCUCACAUUCAAGCAAUUGUAAUACAGCAUCAGGCAGUUUCCUGUAAAUAACCAAGUACACACAACAUACCCAGAAUAUAAGUUUGUCAGAAAUUGUUAGGCAUGUGAGGAUAUCAGAGAGAAACAAGGAAUGACGGUCAUUAGAACCGGUUGCCGGAAUGAGAAGUCUGGAAAUUCUCUGGAUGGCCUUCUCAGUAUUUCCAGACAUGCAAAAACACUGCAGCAUCUGCAAAAAUAGGUCUAAGAUGCAUGCACUAGCAUGCAUUUCAUCUCCAUCAGAAGCAGAAGCACAGCGGCAAAGCACAGAAAGUGCAGCAUCAUAUGCAUCCAACCGAUGAUUAAGUGGAGUCCUACUGUUGAUGUACAUCAGCCAAAGUGCAUAAGAUCCUUCAUUGUGUUUCACCUGGAGACCAAGAGAAGUGUUUCCAUACAAAAAAUUGAACGACUCCUAAUUUUGAAAAGGAAACAAAUGCUGAAGGGCCACAAUUAAAAAACCCCAUAGACUAGGAUAAUUAUGUACAUUGGAAUUAUUACAUGUCAGGUAUAGUGUCAGCAAUGCGAACUACAUUAGCUUGAUGUUUACAAGUUAUCUGGUAAUUUGUUUAAUAAAAGAGCGGCUGCUGAUUCUAAACCAUUCACACAAAGAUGGAUACUAAAAGCCAUUUCAAAAUUUCCCUGUUUUCCAAAGUCAGAUCUAGAUGUAUCUCUCUCCUCAAACCUUAGAUUAUUUUACUAUUAUUACUAUUUAUAUGGAAAAAAUUAUAUUUUUCACCAGUAUUAGAGAGCCAAGUGUAGAAAGAAAGCUAUUGAACACCAUUUUAGAUUCCCUCCUUCCAAGUUCAAGCAAUUUAUCUUCUCCCGGGAUUCUAUAUCUGGCCAAAGCUUUUCUAAUUUCUAAACAGAAAAAUGAAGUCUUAAGACUUCUAUUUUCUUUCUCCGCCCUUCAGGAUCCACUCGGCAUCACGUUAUUACACACUCUAUACUGAACUGAAACAGUGUUAGUAAUUUGAUGGCUUUGGGUUCCCAUGGACUAUUUUUGUUGAGCAACUAGAUAGCUACUACAUAUGGUAAUGCAAUCGGUUUUCCUAGUGUGUUUAUUCGUAAAAUAGUGUACCAAGAUUGACAAAAAAGGAUAGCAAGAAACUUUCAAUAGAAAAAUUCCAUAAAUAAUUGUCACAACGGCAUCACGCAAAGUUUUUCUUUUCCUUUUCGUUAUUUCUUUGAGAAAUUACUAGCUAGACUUGGUUGUGCAAUUCAAUUAUGGCAAAAACUAAGCAUAGGAGCAUUUCAGUUGGUGGCACCUACAAAUUCACCUUAAUAAUUACAUUGUAUCACUAAACUUUUUGCAAGUAAUAUGUAGACAGCAAGUUCAGUCACCAACAACUACUGUAGUGAAUCUCUUUCUCAUCACACCUCAAACUAAAUCUAAUCAUAAAUGUUAUUUGGUUGCUUAAGUAUGAGGAUGAUUGACAAACGGUGCAAAGUGUAUCAAGAAGACAGACCUCACAACAACCUGUUUGGAUUAUAACCAAAAUUAGAAGUUUGCAAGACUUAAAAUUUAAUAUCAUAUUUUUAAAAUCUGUUCAAUCUGGUUUGACUAUCAGGAACACCAAAGAAUUGUCAAACUGAAAAAAUAAUGUACGCAUAAGCCACCAUGAGGAAACUAACAUGCAAUUAUUAACUAUAACUAGCUUGAAAACAUAGAGCUGAGCUAAGGAAAAUUAGGGAAAUUGCUAAAGAUGUCUGUUAUGCCUCCAUAUAGAACAACAUUCCACAUUAUGACCAUCCCAAAAAAGAAAGUGGCGACUUGAAAUCCUGAGUAACCACAAAAUCAACUGCAGCUAUAGACAGUCACUGACAUGCAGAAUGUGACUUACUUUCAUAACAUCAGCCCUCAAAACGUUGGAAUUCAUAGAAUAACGUACCGAGUAAGAGAACAUGUCAUCCUUCCCAACUGAAUUUGUAUUGCUAUAGAAAAUAAGCAGAUAAGUGAUCCAAAGAAUUUCAGAUGUUGGAUCAGCCUCGAGCGCACGCGAAAGCAAAGAGAGAGCCUGCAAAACUCAAUAAUUUGAGGAAAACAAACUAAAAAACAAUAAACAUGAUCAGGAUACUGCAUGUAAAAAAUGUUAGCAGAUGAAAUUACCUUUUUCAUACCCUCAAGUUUGUUAGCAUCUUGAUUCAGUAUAAGAAGAGCCAUUUCCACACAUUGUUCAUUACUAAGCUCAACUUGUUUAAGUUUGUUCUAGGUAAAUAUCAUGCACAGAGAAAACCAUAAAUAAGAGUUUGGAUCAAACAACUCAAGAAAACAGCUCUCCUCCACAAAUUUCAAAAGGAAUACAUGCGCAAGCAAAAAGACUCGAAAUAAAUAUAUGCUGAAACCAAUAGCUAAAAAGAAGUUGGCAUAAACAAGUCUUUUUUUUUUUUUUUCCUUAUUAAUAGUUUAGAGUUUGUUAGUAUAUGCUUCUGAGGGGAGCGGGAGUUAGGAGAAAGGAUGAGCGAAAGAAUUAUACCAUUAAAAAGGUUUGCUGAAGAGCACCCAAACCAAUAUAUAGAUAAAUAAACAUAUAAAAAUCGGAAUUUUCUAGAGCUCUCAUUUUCGUUUAAAAGUAAAUAAAUAAAACAGACAAACACACACACCAUGCUUACUUGCAUGGUCUACUCCCUAAUUAGAAGAUCAAAAUAAAUAAUAUGUUGAUAAUAAACUAGUUAGUCAUGCCUCAAGGUACUUAAUGCUAUGGCAGAUGAAAUGCACCAAAAAUAUAACGUUUGCAAUAAAAAAGAAGAGAUAUCAUAAACAAACCAGCACGCCAUUUCUACUCCGAAAAAAUGAUGACUGUCUAUUCCAACUCCCAAUGCAUUCAAUACGACCAUCACCGAUAAGCGAUAAAUCUGCGGGUAAAUCCUUCGGAUAAAUACUUGAUAUAGCUAAGGAAAUACUUAAACACUUUUGCCAGCACAGUCCAUGUCUCCUAGCUACAACAGAUUGGUAUUGAUAUGAAUCAGCUUUCAGGAUAUCUAAGCCAACUAUAUAUGUUGGGGGAGUCAAAAUAUCGUGACCCUUGGAAAGUUUUGUCCCAACAUUACAAUGUUCUUGAGGAAUUGUUGAUCCAAUCUGACAACCUGCACAAGCAUUAUGUUAAGAAUGCCACCACAAAAAAAAAAAAAAAAAAAGGCACAGAGAGAGAGAGGAAAGAAAAGCGCAAGAGAAGAUAACAGAAUAUGUUAAAAUACCAGCACUAUCAGAAUCGUCAUGCAGAUUCUUAUUUCUGUCAGCAAAGUACUUAACAUGUUGCCAAGGACAUUCGUCAUUGUUGCAUUUUCCUCGAAGCUCAUACAUACAGAGUGGCCAAAGUGGGUCGAUUGCAAGAUUGCAGGUGUAUGAGCCCAUUUCUUUCCCUACAUAACCCUUAACAAUAUCUGGCUUCGAGUUAGCUAUCAAAUAGCAAGCCUGAGUUUUAUCAGAAUUGACACAAGCAACCCCUUCAAUUUCAAAGUUACGUCCAUGAUUGUGUUGAUUUCCACUCUGGUUUGACAAAGCAAUGCAUAAUUCACUUUUCAGAUGACCAAAUGCACCCCUCAAAAUUGGUGGUGAUAAUAAUACAGAUGUUGAAUGGUUCAUUCUGGUGGGAAAUUUGUUUCCCUUAGAAUGGUAAGUAGAGUGAAAUUCUAAUAGACCCUUUUCAACAAGGCACUUAUCCUGGAUCUGGAAAGGAGCCUCUUGGAUUCUUCUUUCAGGCUUAUCAGUGCCUAAACCAGGAAAAAAAAAUAUUAAACAUCUUCAAAUUGAAAGAUAAAAAAAAAAUUAAAACAAAAAUAAAUGGUCUUGAAAAAUAAAAAGGUACAAUGUUAAAUGUAUUUAAGUCAACAGUAGCUAGUCGAUCCUUAUAGUUCACAACAAUAAAAAAAAUAAAAAACAAAAACUGAAUUCUAUUCACAAGUCUGAAAAGGAAUUUCUGUAAAUUAUAUUAUUUUGUGUUGAUUAAUUGGAGAUCUAGUAGUCUGCUACAUUAAAUUCAUGAUAAUGAACACCAGCUACUAUGAUGCAAAUUAUUAGCCGCGGAAACUUUAGAUCAUUACUAAAUGUCAGAGCUAUGUUGCACAUGACCAAUCCAAUGCAUACAAUGAGCACGAAAGCAAUUAAGGUGGAGAAAGCACAACUAUUAUGUUUACAGGAACCAACAAAUGAAUCAUUGACAAUGAUCAUGAUAGACUAGCAAAUAUUUUAACCAGAUGACAGCAGCACGAUGAAUGGAAAUAUUUUCAAGUAAAAGCUGCAGGAUGACACACUUGCUAAAUAACAACACCAGAAGGAUGAGAAGUUAAGCAACAAGAAUAGCAGCAACCAGACACGAAAGAGUAUUCUAUAGACCAAAUUACUCCCUCAAAACAAUGUCCUACUCUGACAAAAUUACCUCCAAUAUCAUGCUGCUGGCUUUGUUCCCCUGAAGAUGGGACACUGCCAUUACUCAUCUGCAUUUUGUCACUUCCAAUGUCAUUGUCAGCCCUUUGUUCAACUGAAGGCUCGACAUUGAAACAUGAACCACUAUCCUUCGAAAAAGUUCUCAUUCCUAACCGUGCAAACAGUUCCGACCUUAGUGUUGCUUCCAGAAGCAAAGGAUCUUGAGAGCUAACAGCAGAUAAUUUGUUGUUGUGCCUGUAAUCAGUGCUAAUUUGCCUCCCUUCAGCAAUUUGAUCCUUCUGUUGGUAUUCAAAGUUCAGUUGAACAGACUCGAGGUCCAAUUGGCAUGCCUCUUCAUCUUCAUCUGCCGAAACCAUUAACUCAUUGGACUGAGGGCUUAUUCUAUUCAGAGCAUUUUUGCUUUUUCGAGGCAACAGCUCUGAUGUACUAGCAUCUGGCUCACUGCAAGGUUCAGACCCCAAAUUUUGUCCAUUUUCAUGCUCAUGAGAAAAAUUCUGCAGAUCACCAUUGAUACAUUGCAUGCUUGAAUCAUACCCUCCUUGAUUAUAACCAACAUAACCAGACUGCAUCUGAUGAGUUGAUGUGGGUGCUAAAUGCAUAUUUCCAGAUACGUGUUUUGAUAAAUCAAAUUCAUUCCCCAGAGUUUCAUGUUGUCCGGAUGACCACAGUAAGUUGGAAUCGUCCAUUACAAAAGAACGAAACCGGGCUGAACACAGUUCUCUUUGACGAUAAAGUUUAGUGCAACUAGCAUUAGCCUCAAUCAGAGCUCUCUGCGCUUUCCGAUAAGCUUUGAGAGCUUUUCUUUCUUCAAUUUCACAAAUCCUCCGGUGUUCUUGUGCUUCCUCCAGCUCCUUGUCCAGCAAUUCCUCCAUGUCAAGUAGUGAUUGUAUGUCCACAUUGCUAUUUCUCGAAACAUUUCCAUUGCCUGAAAAAUUCCCUAAGCUGGCAGUAUUCACCUGCAACAAAUUUUAUACAUGCUUCGGAUUAAAAUAGACCCAUAAUAAUAUAUACAAACAGACAGACAUUCUAGAGCUCUGGCCUGCAUCUAAACUCUGGAAAUAUACCUGAUGAACGUUAUUGAAGGAGGGCCCAUCUAUCUUAUCACCAGAUAUGGCUUUCGUGUACUCACUGUUUUCCAUUACAUUCUGUUCUCUUGUAGCAUUGCUUAAGAAAGAACUAGGAUGACAUCCAGCAGCUGUGCUUGCAGGAUCUGAUUCUAUUCGUUCCUGCUAAGUAACAGAAUAUUAAUAAUUAAACACAAAGAUCAAGCAAUUCUGAUACAUUCAAUUGUUUAGAAAAUGACACUUGUCAGACUAUUUGAACUUUCAUUAAAAUCCCAGAAAGAUGGCUUCAUUUUUCUACUUGCAGCCCUGUAACAGAACCUUACAGUUGCCAUCCAAUUUGUACUACUACUAUGCUGGAUAAUGCCAAGCACAAAUGAAGCAAGCCUAACAUACAAACCGAGGCUGCAAAAUGUAGCUGAAAAUGAACAUAGAAGAAGUGUAGUGAAAAUGAUGUGUGUGAUAAGAUCUCAGUGGGCUGGACAGCAAAUGUAAUAAGCCCAAACAUACCAAAAGAGAAUUAAAAAAAAAUGCAACUUUAAAACCUUAACUACUGUACAUCUUAACACAUUAGCUUACAGCAUUCUUUGGAAAAUUACUGGACGUCAUAUUUGCUAGUUGUGAAGUGUUGUGUAAAACAGGACCACUAUUCACUUGCCUACUAUCCCUGUCAGAUUGAUUACAGCUAGUAUUGGGAUUGGCAACUGCCAAAAAGAAAAAAACAACAAACAUUUUGUUAGGAAUCUCAAAUGCAGUCUAAAUUUGGAUUUUAAAACAACAAACAAAUAGCUUACCAUCCUUCACCACGCUAAGUACAUUUUCUGGUGGAACAUGAACCUGCUUACCAUUCUGCUUGUCCCAUUUUACAAUUUCAGACUCAAUUCUGCUUCUGGGAAUGUCUUUCUGGCUUCGAUCAACCUUAUUUCCAUCCUGCAAACUACUUCUCUCUGGUGUUGGCUCUUUCACUGGCACGGUAGAUUUUGUAGCAGGUAUAUCCUGCCGUCCAUCUGUAGUUAGCCGAUGAGAAUAAGAUCCACUGACUUUUAAGCGUUUCUUGUCUGGUUCUUUUUGGUCCAGCCGUCCUAAAUGAUAAUUCUCACAUGAAUCUAUAACCAAAUCUUUAUUCUGCUGGGCAGCUUUAAGCUUAAGUUCACUUUCCCGAAGUGCUAUCUGCUGCCGCAAGUCCUGAAGUUUACUGUUUCUAAGACCCACCUGGUCACCACACUCUAGGCUUCCUAAUUUUUUUUUAAUACUAAAAUUUCUCACCUGAGAUCGUUGGUCGACUGAUGGGGGCCUAGAAACCCAGGAAUUUGCUCCCCCAUGAUUUCGAGUCGUUGUCAAUGUUUGACUUGGAGAUAAUUUUUUGGGAAUUGCUUUGCUUACAUUUCUGGCAGUUUGUUGUAAAUUUUUCACUUUUACUGCCGAUGAAGUAGGUGGUCGUCCGCUGCCAUCCACCCUAGUUGUAUUGGAUUUAUUUUCAAAUGCUGUUUUAUGCCUGUGAUCUUCAGUGUCACUGCCACUGUCAUCAUCUGAGAAGCUUAUCACAAGGUUAUCAUUCUUCCCUGAAGAGGGAAACCAUCCAGGAGUAUUAGAUUUAAAUGUCACUCGAUUCUGCUCAAAACUCUUAAGGCUGUUUGAUUGAGUGGUAUUUCGGGGCUGAAUAUCAACAGUGCACGAAAGAUUAUUGCCUGAUGCAUUCUUCACUGUAAAGUAGACAGAAAUCCAUCAAUUGAAACUUCUAGGAGAAACAAAAUGUUGAUAUGAAGCUAAUAAAGAAAGUAGAAGAAAAAUAUUAUGGCGUGGUCCACAUCAACCCCAUUAUUACUAGGCAAUUGACUACAUGUCUAGAUCUUGAUGUCAGAGGAAAAGCGAAUUUGCAAAGCAGAAGAUAGGACUGCAAAUAGAGAGCAUGCCAAAGUAUGCUUCCAUGUAUGGAAGAGCAAAAAACUGAUUAACUCCAUUUAAGGUAACGACACUCUUACCACUUUAGCACAUAUGUACACACAUCGCUCAUGCUAUAUACACGACUACAAGAAAAAUGCAACUGACAUAUUUGCUUGAAGAUUGAACUGGAAAUAGAAGCCAUACUAGCACUUUAUAUAAGAGAUACAAACACUAAUUGUAAAAAGAGUAUUUUACGAGCACAGAUAAAUAAAAAUUCCAAAGUCUUGUGAGCUAGUUUCUGUGGCUCACCCAUUUGAGUGCCUUGGGAGUAUUUACUUGCUGGAACAGUCACAGCAGGAUGGCCAACAGCAGCAGUGGCAUGUGCAGAACAGCUACCAGGAUUUUCCUAUGAGACAGAAAUUACUUAUUUAGAAACUAAAUCAAAAAUAUUUAACAAUAUUUUUCUUAUGAGAAAAAUAAGGUAGGAAAAUAAUUAAAAAAAUUCCAUAAACAGUAUGAAUAUAGACUUUACAACAACAGAAUAAUUAAUACUAAAACUGAAUCUUGCAUGCUAAAUCUGGUUUUAAACUAGCAACGCGAAUUCAGAAGAUAAAAAAAAAAAUCAAGUUGAAAACACAACUGUAUAAGCAUCUAAUGGUACACACACAACAAAGGAAAUCCCAUAUCAUGAAAUACAACUGACAAUAAAAAAAACAUACUAAUGCUAUAUAGAAAUUCAAAAUCACAUGACAACAUUUUAAGCCCUGAAUUUCUCUUCAUCAAAUAAAUGAGAGAUUCAAGAACAAUUCUGAUCCUAGGUCAGAGAUUCCGAAAGAGAGUACAUAUUAACUGAUAAUUAGCUAACCACAACUAACAUCCAUGUUCAUGAAAUCAUUACAACACAGAAAAAAGAGAUUGAAUCGAGCUAGUUCCUAUCAUUUCCCGUAUUUUCUCAGCAACAUAAACAGCAACCAAGAUAAUUUAAAAAAAAAACUAAUAAAGAUAAACAGUACACACAUCACAAAACGGUGUUGUUUAAGAUUAAGCUAAAAAAAGAUGACAAAAUGCAAAUCAUUUAGGUUUGUGGAUGAAGAGCACAAUACUUCGUCGUCUGAAGAGGAGACUUCGCCUUCUUCUCUAUUCUUGUUUGUUAAUUCUUGGUUGGGUAUUUGAUUCGCUGAACCGGCCUCAUUAUUAUUCAUCGUCUUCAUUUUGUUUGUUUUGUUUAUUGACUUUUUUACUGUUUGUUUUGUUUCUCUCUCUCUGUAGAAAAUUGUUUUUUUUUUUUUUUUAAUAAUAUUCGUUCUCUCUCUGUCAAGAAAAACGAAACGUUUUGAGUUACUCCCAGAAUUUUCAACGAUAAAGAGAGAGGUCCCCAAAAAACGAACUUCAGCGGCACUACUCGCUGUCGCUGCUCAACAAUAAAAGUACGAUUAUGCCCUUGGUUCGCUCGUGAAAUUAAGGAUCGUGUCCAGAUAUUUCUUCUCUCGUGCUGACGCCCGCCACCUCGACAAGAAUGUACCUCACGCGCUAACCUAAUGUUUAACAGGCCACUUUUUGCCUUGAAUAUCUCUCCAUACGCCAUUAAUUAUUAUUAUUAUUAUUAUUAUUAUUAUUAUAAUGAGAGCUGAUCACCUGCAUGACUGUAUGUGUCAAGCUCUUAUUAAAAAUUAUGGACUCUACAACUCAAUCUUUCUGAAUCGGACCUUAAUAAAUAUGCAGUUACUUACCAUAAGAUGUAUUAAUGCAUACACCUAAUCAUACUUCUACUAUUAUAAAUGUUAAAUACAACUCAAACUUUCUCACUGUUAAUAUUCACUCAACAAAUUUUAUCAAUUAAACGAACUGACAAAUUUUAUUUUCACUCAACAAAUUUUAUCAAUUAAACGAACUGACACUCAUAUAAUUAUAAUAUGUAUAUAAUUAUAUAUUUAUACUCUGAGUGACUCUUUGAUUUAAUGUAUUUAUAUUUAUUAAUAUAAAGUAUAAUUGUGUGCACAUUUAAAGAAUCUAACAAUACAUUGUAUUUCAAUGUACCGAUUUUUCUCUUAGUACGUACCUCAAGAGGGUAUCAAUCAAUGAAUAUAAAAGUUUUUUUUUUUUUUGGAUAAAGAAAAUAAUCAGUAAAAUAAAUUAAAAACAAAAAGCAAACGGUGGAAAAAAUCAUCGUGAGCUGCAAGCAACCAAUGGACAGGAACACGACAAAAUUGAGAAACAAACAAAGGUCGAGGUGCGGGCUCAUCACAGACACGGCAUGCAACACCAAACCAAACGAUUCCACGUGUCGAAAUUCAGUACGUCAGAGCAAUUUCCCAUAAUAUACUACUAUUCAUUUUCGUCCCCACCCUCACUCUCGCACUAGUCACUGCUGAACACCGCUAGCUCUCUUAUAAAACCUCUAUAAACUCUCACAAAAAUCUCACCGUGAAAAUCUCUCUCUCUCUCCCCUUUCUGCUUACCGAAAAUGUCCAACCCUCUGGACAUGACUCUGGACGAGAUCAUCCGCAAUAAGAAGAGAUCUCCAGGACAAAACAGUCAUUUCCGUGGCAACAACACGGGCUCGGGUGGUACUGGCCCCCAGCGUCGGGCACCGCCAAACCGCGACCGGACAGGAACGGCACCGUAUCGACCGGUGAAACAAGUGAGGCACCUGUUUUCAUUUUUUUAACUCUUCUUAUUAGUUGCAUUUUAGUUAUUAUUUUGUUUUUUUUGAAAUAUUAUUGCUUGUUUGUUUUAGUGACUGAAGAGUGAAGUUGUAGCCUGAAAGUAAAAGAGAAAAACGGAAAUUGCUUUUUGCUAACCAAACAUGGUCUUAAGGCUUACAUUCAAUUAUCAUUCCAAGUUUUAGCUGUUGCAGUUUAUUUUAAUUUUCUUCUGAUUUUAUUUUUUACAGAAAAAAAUUAAAAGUUUCAAAAAAAAAAAUAAUAAAAGAACAAAAAGGAAAAAGAUGGAAAAAGCUAUCUGUGCCAAAAACGGCAUUAGGUUCCUUUUUUUUUCCCUUUUUUGGAAGUUUCCGUAUAACAAAGACUGUGUGUACUCUUUUAGCCUUUAUAUCGCUCAUAAAUAUACUAUUAUUUUUAUUUAAAAUAUAUUGUUAUUACUAUCUAUUAUUCAGAAUGCAAUGAAGGCGCCAGUGCAAGUGAGCACAGAAGUUAUAAAGACGCAGCCGAGUAAGAUGGCAGCACGCGGAGGGAUUAGCACCUAUGGCGGGACAAGACUUUACAUAUCAAACUUGCAUUAUGGUGUUUCUGAUGAGGACAUUGAGGUGCCUUAGCUUCAUUUUAUAACUAGUAUUGUUACUGCCAUUUGCAUGCGUUUCUCAAUACUAGCUUAAUUAGAAGCUCUUACUUAUAUGCAUGUUCACAUUCUGCUUUAUUUGUGAUUGCUUUUGAAAUAUUAAAAGCAAGUUUAUUCGGAAGCUUUUAAAAUAGUGUAUUGCAAAAUCUCAACAAGUCGGCUUUUAGAAAAAACAGGUUGGUUGUGUUCACUUUUUAGACAUUGCAUCAUAUAUUUUAUAAAUUCCACUUUGUGCAUUUGGAUUCUCUCCACUCUCAAUUGAUCAUAACAUUUUGUGAGCCAGAGCAAUACCAAGAUUGCAUGCAGUAGUGACAAGAUUGUUAGUAACAAAUAUGUUACUAGCUUAUUUGUUUGCAGAUGCUGUUCUCCAGUGUUGGUGAGUUGAAAACCCACGCGAUCCAUUAUGACAGAAGUGGAAGAUCAAAGGUUAUCUUAUAGGUUUAGGAUUUGGUUCGAGUUCUUUUGGAUGAAAUAUUUUGGUCUUGCAUUUGGCUUGAACAAUUGUUUUCAGGGAACUGCGGAAGUUUCGUAUUUUCGCCAGGUAGAUGCUCAUGCAGCUAUGAAAAGAUUCAACAAUGCCCAUCUUGAUGGGAAGCCAUUGAAGAUCGAGUUUGUGGGUGUGCAGUUGGUUGCUCCUGGUCCUGUGCCUCCAAUUAAAAAUAGCAUUGUGGGAAGUCCGAAUGUUCUCUUUACAAGGUUCGAAUUUUAAUGUGUUUUUCUCUGUCCCUCUCAUAUUUUGAGCGUGCAGCCAGUGUAUUCAUUUUUUCUUGCUUCGUUCAAUGAUGAAAGCAGUUUCAACCCCUUUAUAUAUACUCAGUACUAAAUCUACAUGAUCUGCCUAUAUUAGCAUGCCUGGUUGCCGACACAUGAAUACAUGUUGGUUCAAAAUUUGAAGUCUGGGAUAGUGUAGCCAUUUUGAUUGGUAAGAUGCUUAAUUAGGAUUCAUAAUGCAAUAUUUCUUAUUGACUAACAGAAGCAAUAAAGCUUGAAACUAUAUGUUAAAAGGAACUCGAUCUACCUGUAGUGAUUCCUCUCGGUUUUCCUGGUACUCCACAAGCAGUUGCUGUUUAAUUUUUCUUAGAGAAGGAAGUAAAAUGCAGGAGUUGCAUAUAAUAAUUUCAUUACACUGCAUUGUAAAUAGGCUUAUUAUGUGCUAUCUCUUGUAUCAUUCAGCAUUAACUACAGUUUCCAUUACUGUAAUUGACAGUGGUGCAAGCAGAGUUGGUGCUGGGGAAAGGCUUCGUGGUGAUGCUUUUAGUGCUGGUGGUGGUCGUGGAUUAGCUAGUGGUGGAGGGAACGGGAACCACCAUGAGAAGAAGCUAGCGGCAGAAGAUCUUGAUGCUGACCUCGGCCAAUACCUCUUAGAAGCCAGGCGUAAAAAAUGAUGUCACCUGUUCUUGCUUAUCGAACCAGCAAUUAGUGUCAUAUUAAGCUACGAGUAAGCAUACUGAAAUAGGAUACUAUUAAGAACUAUGAGACACUGAAGAUUCCACGAACACGGUGCCGUCUGCCUUGGGAGACAAUUGUUUAGCACCUUUCUUUUGACCAAUUUAUUAUUUGUCUUGUCAGUCAAUUAAUUUAGAGAGUCAACUCUGACCUGGAUGAAUUGGUCUUUGUCUCUAGCAUGCUUUAAGCUAAGUCGAAUAGGUGGGUUUCAACUUUCAGCUCAAGUUAAUACGAAUAUUUUGCUAAAUUGUUAUGUGCAUGAAAAUAGUAAUCAGUCGUCAGUUACUGCACAAAUGCAGUUCAGUUCAGAUUCUGAAUGCCAUGGGUAGUAAUCCGAAGCAGGAAAAAUAAGGCGGGGGCCAGAGAGAGAGAGAGAGAGAGAGAGAGAAUUACUUUUGUACAUCUCAUAUAUAACUAGAAAAAAAAAAAUUGAAUCUGUUGUUUUGUUUUCGUUUAUAUGGCCAGUAAUAUGAGGUAUGUAUACCAGUAAAACCACCAUAUUUUGACAAACCAGAACAUGUUUACUACAUUUGCGGCACUAAAUUAUCUUGAGUGAGCAUCAAAUUUGGCAAUCAAAUCUAGAAAUCUCCGUUACCGCAAGUCAUAGAUUGAACCGUAUCAAGAUUUUCAUAGCAUAUUUUUCCAAGAAAAAAAUUCACCGAUUUGCGGACCGCGGUUAAUUUCUGCCAUGGCUUGUGAACUAAAUUUCAAAUUGCCAAUAUCAGUUCAUAAACAUCAUUGGGAUUAUAGUAAUAUAUUCAAACAAGUUGAAAGUGACCAUAGGUAAGAAAAUAAAUCCCAACCAUUGAUCAAUGACAGUGCUUUAGCUGAUACAUAUAGAGCCAAAUGAAUUACUUUGUCUUCCCCAUAAAGAAAACAAAUAGGUGAUUUAACAAAAUAUAUAUAGAUAAAACGAGAAAAGAAAAACUAAGAAAGAAUCAAACUCAGCGUUCACUAUCUGAGUAGGAAGAAAUAAGCAUAUUUCUUAACAGUAAUUGUACAAUACAAAUUUUGCUACUGGGAGAGAGGACAAAACACGUUACACAUUUACAAGGUGAAGACAUCAAAUAUUAAACAACACAUAGACCAAAAAACACAUACCAGGCAAAACUUCGAAGAUGUCACUCAAAAAAAGACACCUUGUGCCAUUGAUCAUGAUUAAAUUGGCGAGUCUUGUAACUAAUCCACCCCUUCAGCAUCUUGUUAUCCUAUCAACCAAAUACAAAAUUGAAUCUCUCCUCAUUGCAAACAAGAAACUAAACCUCUUCUGAUUUCCAAAAAAGAAUUAAUAAUAAUAAUAGUAAUAAAAAGAAGAUAAGAAAAUUAUAGGUUUUCAUUGUUAAAGGAUGGCCAUUCAGCAAGAAAGAGCUGGUAUUGAUUUCACCAUCAGGAGUCAGUGAGUAACAAUAUUGAAAGGCUAUGAGCAAAUCUGAUUCGGUACAAGGGAUUCAGUGGUAGCUCAGGAAUUCUUCUAUCAACAUAAUGCUAAUGCCUGCCCAAUCGCUGCUUUGACAUGAAGUAAAAAAGAAGAAAAGAACUUUAGUAACGAUAGUGUCAUAUAUAUAUAUAACAUCCUUUACAUAAUGACAAUAAAAAAAUUACUGCCCUUACAUACAUGACAAUUAAAAGUGUUAUGAAUAUUACUAAAUAAUCCUUUAACUUCGAAUAUUUACCAACAAUCUGAGAAUCAAAGAUAAAAUGGCAGUCAUAUACCAAGAUGAAGAAGAGAGAAGUCAGUACCUUAAGAUACAUUAACUGCCUUGAUCUACAACCUUUAACAGCAUAAAGAUAGGUCCUCCAACUUCAAAAAGUAUUUAAGGCAUCUUCUAUUCUGGACGAACAAACAAGCCUUCUAUCCAAAACAUGCCUUCUAUCCAAAACAUCAGAUGAAACAAUGAGCUUCUUCACUUUUAACAAAUGGAAGUACGCCCCAAUAAUCUAAUUUGACUGCAGAGGCAAUUUAGAACUUCCAUUAUCUCUGUGCAGAUUGGCGAGGCACUGUAGCUGAUUUAGAACAUCUAUGCACACAUAACAUUGGCUUCCUCAGGAGGGAGAGGCUGAAACCUCGUACUUUCGGCAUUAAUAUAACAUUCUUGUUUCUUUGAAGUCAAGAGUCCACGCUUUCAAACACAUGCUUACAAAAAUUAAGCAUAUAUUCCCACAAAAGAUUUUCAAAACUUUGCCAAAUGUUGCCAGGAAGUUAUAGCUCAACGGUUAAAGAGUUAUAACAACCCAUUACACACACUGCAUUGUCCCCGGAACAAGAGCAUGAAACUUGUACAAAAUGUCUCAUCAGAUUAACACCCAGUUCAAAUAUCAUUCGAAAUGUGAAGUAGGCCACGCAUCUGAAGAUAUAGAUUCUCCAGCAAUUUUUCAUUGUUGCUCUGCAGAAAAAAUUAAUGAAAGAGCACAGGAUUAACAGAAAAGCCUCAAAAUUUUAAAAUUAAAAAAAAAAAUCAGAUUGGAUAACGGGACAUCUAUGAAGAGAAAAAUUCAAUCUGAUUUGUGUAGUUCAUGCAUAGGCCUCCUCAUUCAAUGGUCACCUCUCGGAAAGCUAACCAAUAAAAUAGCCAACCACAUAUCACAUGUAUCAUAAUAGACUAAACCCAAUUACACAGAUAGCGAUGCACAAAUAGACAUGUCAGAUAGAGAUGCUGACCAAGUCAUUCACUGUUUACAAUGCCACAUCAUCUUUGUUUUUUGCAUCUCUAUUUUAACAUGAGAGCCUAAUGAAAGCAAUGACUGUAACCUCUUGCCGUUUAUCAAACUGCACAUGUCUAUAUGGAAAUGCUGAAUCUAGAACCCCAGGCCAAAGUCAAGAUCUUACCAAGACUUGCAUAAUUGUUUUACACACUAUGCUAUAUACACACAUAAGACAUACAUUUACAUUUGAAGGGUGUUAGAACUUGCUUCAUAUUUCAAUGUUCCUCAAAAUUGGUGUAACAUCACAUAAUAUAUUAGAUAGUACUGCACCUGCUGAGCCUUAAAAACAAGAUUCUGGAGCAUGUGCUGGUACUUUUCGGGUUUCUCAGUCAUCAUUCUCUGCAACAUCCAUAGUACAAUGGAUUAGAAUUAAAAUGGAACCACAUACUCAACAAAUAAUCCUUGGUGAGGAAACAAAUGCAAAGCAUUCUUGCCUUUAGAAGAAAAGCUGAAGAAUAGUAAGCCACCCUCGAAUCAGUAUCAUCUAAAAGCUCCCUGCCAAAGCCAAACAUAUCAAUGUCCAAUAUGUAAGGCAAUUCAUAUAAAGGAGUAAGAAGUCAAUAAACUCACCUAAAGAAUUCUUCACCACCAACUUCUUCUUGGAAUGCAGCAGGAUCUGCAGUGCAUUUACCAAUUAAAAGCAACAGCAGGGUAGCUCGAAUGUCUGAUGUGGCACCAGGAAGGUUUCCUCUUCCUUUGCUUCCAACAGCGACACCCAAUGAGAUAUUAUCUGUUGCUGCUCCAGCAAGUUGAAUCAAUGGCCAAUAAAACAAAGCAGCAGGAACACGUGCAACUAAUUGCAUUGGAACAACAGCCUGCCCUCCAAGAAGCUGUGCUGCCAUCGAUGCUGUUUCACAAAUUGGAGGGCAAUUCAUAUUAUUUCCAGAUCUACCACCAGUCUCCUCAAAUAAUUCAUCCCGACGACAGCUCUCUUGUUGAAAACCACGCUCAGCAGCAUCAACUUUCUUAGUUUCAUCUACAGAACCGAGCACUUUACUCUGGUGCGCUCCAUCUCCAAAUGGCAUUGCCGUUGCAGGGCAAACUUUGAGGCAUAGUUGGGAAAAUAGAAUGUCACACAUCUGGUUAGAAACAGCAAAAAGACAAGAGUUAGCAAGGCUUUUCAUUACCUAUACAUCAUAAACUAUGCAUGAGAUAGCCUUAAAUAAAUCAGAACAAUGUCACAAGGUUGUUCAAGGGAAACAAAUUUACUAGUAAAUAUGAUAUCAAAAGUUAAAUAACUCAUCAUAUUGGUAUCUCAAAUUCAAGGGCCAAAAAGGAUCUUGUCAGUACCACUAUCUGAUCAAGCAAAUUUAAUAUAGAAUUUGUCUAAAAAGAACAGGAAAAAGGAUUCAAAUUUUGAGAUUUACCAUAUGUCAGUUAUGUUGUGAUAGAGACAAUAUCGUUG
rnacentral:lncRNA from 1 species